rnacentral:lncRNA from 1 species
UUAGCUUUUUUUUUUUUUUUUUUUUUUUUUUGUCAUGGGAAUAAGCUAAAAUUCAGAAGCAGCAAAGUGAGUCCUUUAGAUUUGAGAACAAACUCUUAAUACAACAUAUAAAUUCUGUCAUUCAAGAAAAAAGGUUUAAAACAGUAAGAGUAGCUAUAUGAUGAUUGACGAACAAGUGGGAGGAAAAGCUUUGGGCCUUAGAAUAUUCUUAUCAUGUUUCACAUUACGAGGAUGCUUUUUCUCCAAAGUCUCUAGUGAUGUCUCCACUUUGAGGAGGAUAAGUUAGGCCCACAGUUGAACAAAAAUUCCUUUUCUUUGUCGACAAAAAUCAAGUUUAAACCAAUGAUGGAAGUGGAGAGACGUACCAGAAUUCCUCUGAGAUUAAUGAUUGUCUUGUUGGCCUUCUUGUUAUGGUAAACAAUAUUAUGUGCUAAUUGAGGCACAUAAUGGCCAGCGUAGCUCUCUCCAGCUAUGUAAAAAUCCCUAUUUUUGUACUCAGGAAACCUCUCAAGCCAAUUUAGUAAGAAAAUGUAAUUGUCUGCAGCAGUUUUUGUAUCCCCACAAUUCUCAAAAUCUGAUGUUGUGUUGGAGUAUGAAAAUCCAACCCCUGCUGGAGAUUCUAGGAACAGAACAUUGGCAACUGUUGGGAGGACAAAUUAAUUGAAAAUUUAUUAAGUACCUAAACAUCAAUAUCUUUUAUUUGAAAGACAAAACGAAGUAAAAUUUCAAGAGAAAAUUCCACACCAUGAUUCCAGGCAUAUUGAUUCUUGUACAGUGUUUUGCCGUCGCUACCAACCCUGAAUGGUCCAAGUUCUUGCAUUGCCCCAUAGCCAAGUGAAGAACAGCCAGGACCUGUUUCGAAAGUGACAAAUUGGGAAAAUUUCAUAUUGAAUUGAAUGCAUUACACAUCAAAGCCUAUGCCGCGUUGAAUUGACGGUUCUACAUAUCCUGCCGAUGACGAGUUAUUUGAGGUGUUUAAUUUUUAUUUAAUUAAAGGGUCCGUUUGGAUGGUGUAUAUUUAAGUGUUUGAAUAAAAUUUUACUGUAAUUUAUUAUAAAAUUUAUAAAAAAUACUUUUGUCAAAAAAUUGAAAAAAAAAUAUUUUGCUUUUACUUUUCCUUUUUCCCCUUUCUUUUCUCUCCUUCUUCCUCCUUGCUACCGUCGCUGCUCUAGCCACCACUGCAGGCCAACACAUCUGCCACCACCUCCUCUCCCCUCCUCUCUCUCCCUCUCCUCCUCCUCCCUCCUCCCUCCUCCUCUUCUUGCUCCAUUCCUCCUCCCUUUCCUUUGUUUGAGUGUUUGAAUGAGUAUGUAAAUUAAUUUAAAGUUUUUAUAAUAUUUAUUAGAAAACAUAAUAUUUUAAAGUAGGCAUCCCUUUUGGGUCAAUAUGUGAUUAUUUCUCUUGAUUUUGAUUGAAUUAGAAUCCUGAACAGGGUGUGAACUCUAAAACGAGUUUAAGAUUAGAUGCACUUUGUCGGUUAGUCCACCUUGUCAUCUCAAAGUGCGCCCUUAUUCAAAUGACACUUUAGACCCUACUACUAAUUUCUGAUCUUGGAAAACUGAAAAACUCAGAAGGAUUUCAUGUAGAUUAUCAAGUGUUCGUGAAUUAACACUAAAAUGACCCUCAUUCCAUCUACUCUACUCAUUAGAAUUGAUGGAAGUGCCAAAAUUUUAUACUUUUUUUGUUUUGUUUUCUUUUUUUUUUUUUGAAGGGGGGCGGGUGGGUGGUGGAACUGGAGUUCAAUGGGAGACUUAAGUCAACAAAUGGAUGAGGAACCAAAACUUUUAAGACCGAAAUAGUUUCAAGGAGUUGUGGGGUACGUUGCUCUUUUGGCUUACUACUUGUGACUGAUUACUUAUAUAUAGAAAGAAGAAAAAGAAAGACUUUUGACAAAUGAUUUUAUCUCUUUUUGGGGUCUUAUUAAACCAAAUCGACAUCCAUGCCUCGUCAUUCUGAGCACAAUAUGAACUAGUAGUGUUACAGAAUGAGUAUAGUUUAUUAAAAUGGAUGAUUACCCUGAAAUAGAUAAUUAAAUUAAUCAAGAAACUUAAAUGAUAUUUAAAUGGAUUUAGUAGAUGUCAUAGUUAAGCAAAUGAAAAAGUUUCUUAAUAUUUUUCAUGCGAUUUCUUAUGUCCAUUGGCGUAUGAAUCAUGGACUCGAGUAGAAAAGACUUACAAGUGUCGUAUAACAAAGAAAAAGCAUACCAUUUACAUAUGGCAUCAUUUGGAUUGAGGGGAAUAGGAAGGAUUUGGUCUUCUUUAAUUUUUUUAGGGGAAAGGUAGAUGUUGGGCUUACUUGUUUAUUUUACAUUUAGUUUGUGGACACUGGUUAAGUGGACUUUAGUUAUUGAUACUUUGAAAAGACAAAGUUAAAUUAUAAAUUUAUGAAAAUAUAAGGAAGGACAAUAAUUGUUAACAUAUGCAUUUAUAUGAUAAGUUGGAUAUGACUUAUAUGAUUUUAAGUGUACAACAAUCGGCACUUGUUAGAAUAACCUAAUGAAUUGAAUUUUUUUUUUUUUUUUUUGUCGAUACGACAGAAUUUUUAUAAUCUAAACUAACCUAUUCUAGGGGGAGAGGGAGGGGACUCGAUGUAAGUAGAAAUUCCAUCGAAACUGGUCAAUGAAAACCGUUACAUAUUGUGACAAAUUUUAUAGGAGACGAGAUUCGAACUCUUGACCUCCCGCACCACCAAUUGAAUUGAAUCACUUUAACUUGCCUAAUUUACAUAUGACUGCGCAUCCAUUAAACCAAAAAACCGAAUAAAUUAAAUUACUUUUACUUGCUCAAUUUACACAUCUCUCCUUACUUUGGACACAUGGACCAAUCCACUUUUAUCUACUCUUUCCUUAUCCUUUCUUUUCCUUCUUUUUCCUUCCCCUUAAUCCAAACACUGCAGAAAACCGCCCGAAAAGAAACUCAAUUUUCCAUUGAUUAGGUGGGAUUACUAGACUUCCUUAAUCAUUAAGAAAGAAGACUCAACUUACUAGAAAAAACAGAACAACCUCACAGCUCAUAGGCAACAUGCAUAAACCGCAUACGAAACAUCAAAAUCAGGUCCUAUACAGCUGUGCUGGCACCAAUAAUUGUCAAUGUAGCGUUCAAAAAACGUAGCAAAAACUGACUGUUAGUCGUUGCAUUUUUGUCAUGUAAUUCUGGACACAACGAAAAUUACCUGAUGUAAAAGGCAAUUUUGUAAACAAGCAAGUUCACAAACUGAAGAGUAGACAGGGAAAAAAAGGGAAAGGAAACUCAAGAAGAUCGAAGUUAGUUUAAAGUACAUAUAAAUACCUCCAUUGAGCCAAAGCAGCAGGGGCAAAUCUUGAGCUUUCUUGGGAUCCUGUGCUUCGGUGAAGUAAUAAUAGAAGGCACUGCCGGCAGUGGCAUUGAUGGUGACAUAUCCACCAUACUGUUUGAAAAUAACGGGGGGUUGUCCGGGCAAUUCCUGAAUGAUAUCCUUCUCUUUCAGCCCAUCUUGCAUAGGCUCAGGUGGAUUCUCAAAUGGUGUGAAGUGGGAUUUGUCAAUGUUAGAAUUAGGCUUCAAUUUGGCCAUGAAAAGUUGAUGGUCAGCUUCCCUGUGGCUCUUCCCAAGGAUCUUGAGAGCCAAAGAUGAAAGCAAGAGAGUUGAGAGAAGAAGAAUUUGGGUUUUCUUGAUCUCCAUCUUUGGAGUAUUCUUGCUUUUUGAACUAUACUACCUUCGAGUCUGAACUUUGCGUAUAUAUAAGAAAUUUAGGAAGGUGUAUAACAACCACUUGGGAUCCUAGGUGACAUAUUUUGAAUGCCAAUCCAAUGCUACCUCUAAUAUUGCGCCAAGUAUCCUGUUAUUAUUUGUAUUUUAAUUUUUUAAUAAUUCAAAUUGAUUUGAUUUAACACAAAUUUUCUCUAUCCUCUAAAACUUUGAACCAAAAUUAACCGGCUGGUCUAAUUCAAUUACCAUCACUUUUGAGUUAACUACUCACGAUCUGGGGAAAAAGAAAAAGAAAACCUAAGCGAUUGAGCCACCAAAGUCUUUCAUCGGUGAUUGCUUUGAACAAAGCCAAAAAGAGACAAAGUCCCUGAAGCUUGUUAAUUUUGGUUCAAAGGUUUAGAGGGUUGAGAAAACUUGUAUUAAAUCAAAUCAAUUUGACACUCCUCGCCCUACUUUCCUUUUUCUUUCCACCAACGCAAAGAAACACACACACACCAUUUUUCGUCAGCGUCCAUAUGAUGAGUAAAAGACUCUCCUUCUUCUCCCGAACAAUUAAAUAAUAAAAAAUUCAAAAUUUUCAAAUACUUUGAAAACCAGUUUCUUCAAAUAAAAAUAUAAAACACAUAACUUUUUUCUUAUUAUACUUCAUGAAUAUUACAACAUAUAAAUAUGUAUCUUAUGCGUUAUAAACAAAAAUUUCACAAAAAUUUCUUUCUUGCUUUGCUUUAAGAAUACAUGUUCUGAAUUCUAUAUAUUUCAUCUAUAAUCGAGUUUUAGGAUUUUAUAAAUGACUUUGUAUAUAUACUUACACACCCGCACAGAUGCAUGCAUGCAUACACACACAUAUGUAUCUUAAGGUAGCGAAAUUUAAUAUACCUAACCUUAAAUAUAAAACCUUAAAUAUUUUAGGUUUUUUGCAGGGAAAAGAUUUUAAAUUUAUAAAAAGUGCUUUUGAACAUUUUUAAUUUUAAAAUAAAAGAAAAUUUAAUUUUUAUCCCCCUUAGUUUUGUCCCUAUAUUUAUUUAUUUAUGGAGCAACAAAGAGGCAGUUGCUUUUGUUUCAGGGGAGAAGGGCAAGAAUGAUAGCACUAAACGAUGUAAUAGUUUUCAAUAGAUUGUAAUUUAUUGUUAAUUACUUGUACAUCUUUGUAACAAAUGUAUUAGAUUCUACAACUGUUCAUGUGUUGCUGUAUGUGUCUAUAUGGAGCAGAUUUGCUUAUACAUAUUUAUAAUAGAUAUGAUAAGAUAUAUCCAAAUAUUGUUCAAGUUGAUCCAUACAUGUUAAUUGAGUUAAAAUAAGCAUUUUCUCGUCCUUAUAUUUUGAAUAUUUGUAUCAUUAGUGAAAUCUUAUCGUUGAAUCUUACGUUGAUAACCUUUUGUGCCACUAGUCCAUAUUUGACUGGUCAAGAUCUUCCGUAAAGAAUUAUGCUAAAUACUCUAUUGGCGAUAGAUUCCUUUAUUUAGAGGGAUAACAUCAGAAACCCCCUUGAGAUUUCUCUUAAUAUUACCUGCUGCACCUAAAAUUUUAAAAGUAUCACUUAUCUCCUUUAUUUUUGUUAUUUGUGUAACAAAAUUUUUUAAAAUCCUAAACUACCCUUUUAUUUGUUAAAUAAAAAUACUCAUCAAUCACCUAACAAAUAAUCUAGAGUAGUUCUAUCACAUCAUAAUGCUAUAGUCCAUAAAAAUAUAAAUUUAAAAAAUAAAAAAGAUAUUUACAAAGAAAUACACUUGCACCAAUUUAAUUCUAUAUGCUCAAAAUCAAUAUUUCAUUAACUUAAUUUAUUUCAAUUUCUUCUCAACCCAUGCCCAGAUCUUUGAAUUGUAUUGAUCAUUAUAAAAAUCAACUUAAAAUAAUCAAAUUAAUCAUACCCCACUCUGUUACAAUCGCAAGAAGUAAAAAAUAAAUAAAUUUCAAUUUCUUAUAAUUUACAAAUAAAAAAUUGCAUAGUUAUCCAAAAAAUGAGUAGGAGAGAAUGCUGGAGAAAAGAAAAAAAAAAGAAAGUGACUUUUGUUUCCUUUGUUUUUAAUUUUUUAUCUCCAUUUAUUUGAAUGUGAAUUAUGUAUCAAGUGAGGGUUAAUAUCGUUCUUUUGCAAUUAUUAGGGGAGAUAAGUAAUAUUUUCAAAACCUCAAGAGGCCGAGUGAUAUUAGGAGAAACUUCAAAGGUUUUUAGUUUCCGAUAUUACCCCUUAUUUAGAUGACAAAUUAUGACUGGGCCCAUCACAUUAUGCAAGGCAAGGUCAACUUGACAUGUGCAUAACUGCAAAAGGCAAAGCACUCGUCACUGUCCAAAAUUUCCGUCUUUCUUGUGCGACCAUAUUAGCCACAGGCGUCAAAGUAAUGAUAAUAAAUAAUGAUAAUAAAUUACAAAAAAAUCAACUUUUUUUAAUCUUGGUUUACUGCAUUUUUCAACAGUUCCAGAGAAAACCAAUCAUAAAUUAUAUAUAUUUUUUGAAUAUUGAUAAGAAUAUUAAAUUACAAUAAACUCCACUAAGUAAGGAUAGGAUCAAAGUAAGCAGAUUACGUUUCAACAUUACUUUCACCACACAAAUGGUGGAAAGUAUAAUCAAAAUAUAGUGGACGAAUGUAACAGGCAAAUCAAUCGCACAUUUAAUACCCAAAAUAAUUGAAUUUAACUUCUUUAUCCUUAAUCUUUGUCCAUCAACUAACCCACUACGUGUCUUUUCUAGCAUCGGGACCAGUACCAAUUUAAUGACCAAAUAAUUCUACGAUUUUGGCUGCAUGUAGCAUUAUACCAAUAGAAGAUUUUUUUUAUUAUUAUUAUUUUUUUUUACCGUUUACCAAUAGAAGAUUCGAAGAUGACCUGUCCAAUAUGGGCAGCCCCUUCUAGGCAAAAGAUUGUUGGCCAAGGGUCACAUGAAAUGUUAGAGGUUGUUAGAUAUUCUUGCUGAUGGUUUGUUUGUUUGUUCGUUCGUUUGAUUGGAAAGGAAAAAGUAUAGUAUGGAGACAAAACUAUUGGUGUCUUGUCUUAAUUUUAAGCUCUUAGCACAUCUAAACAACUUGCACAGUGUAUGUACUACCUUUGGGUACAGUACCCAUUAUUUUAUCGUGGUAUGGUACCCAUUAUUUUAUUUUGUCAAAUCAUUUAGUGAUUUAAAUUUUUGAAAUAAUCUAAAAAUUGAUAAGUUUGAUUUUAUAUCCAAUGGUGAAUUUGGUCUCAUCAAUACAGUAUUUAAAGGGACCGUAGAGCUCUCCUAUAUUAUUAUCGAGGGAUGCAGGAUAAUUAAUUUAAAUUUGAAAUUGAAAUCUAAAAUUUCUAUAUAUGUCAUGCAUUCAAUCAUGAUGGUGCACGUAUUGUUAAUGUAUAUAAAAUUAACUCUAUAUUAUUAUUAAAUGUUAUCUUGUGGACUAUAGAAAUUUAUUUGAAAAGGUGCAAGUAAUGUGUCCAAUUUGGUUUAUUUGAAAAGGUACAAUUUAAAAAAAAAAAAAAAACAGAUGUUGAAUGUAUGGUUUUGAUUUUUGAUACACUACAUGGUUUGGUCAUUUGGACCCACAAAGUAAUUUAAACAAAAAUGUGAUUCAAACUUUGUAAGGUUUCAAGUCUGCCACACCGUCUUCAUUGUUAACAUCUUUCUACGUCCUAUCAGUUUCCUAAUUUACGAACUGUCCUUUAUAUAAUUGGCAAAUUAUCAAAUUACCUAUAUAUCCAUACACAAAUUCCAUUCUCCAUUAACUCUUUGAUGAAAGGAAGGACCGUUGAUGCUCUAUCUUCCCAGUGUCCAAAAACAUCACUGCAAUUUUUUUUUUCAAUUUAGUUAAUAGGAAAAAUAGGAAUACCCUAGUUUUUGUGACAAGAUACAUUAGUCAAAAAAAUCCCAAAAAAUAGAGGGAAGGGGAGCCAAAGACCUGCAUGGUUCCCAAUCAUAGUGUAAUUUGGUUACACUAGCAUGGAUUGCCUCUUGAAUUUUAGGAAGAUUCAAGCAUGAAUAGACAUAAUAUUCACUGCAUGGAUCGAACUCCAUUUUCUGCACAUCAUAAUACCUCAGUGUGAAUAAUUUCAAUGUAAAUGCCUCAAUGUGGCAUUCAUGCUCAGCAUGGCAAAGGCUUCACAAGCUAGUUUAGGGUAAGCUCAAUGCAAAUAAUUUAUUGAUUUUUAACUUUUUCUGUUCUUAUUAUUAAAGAAGGGAUGGUGGGAUGUGCAAAAGAAAAGAAAAUCUUAACAGCUAUGCUAUGUAUAAUUGUCACUGCCUUUUGUUGAUUGAAUUGCUAAUAAAGUAAAAAGAAAAAAAAACAUCAAAUGUAUCAAAACUCGACGAAUGAGAUGACUACAAUUUCGUGUCAAUAGAAAAGGAAAAAAGUUGAGUUUACUCAAUCCCAAUGAUAUGGUUCAUUGAUAAUCAUCUAUCAACUAUUUUGCUCGUGCUCAUAGUUUAUUUUUUAUUUAUUGUGAAUUUAUGCAAAUGUGAAUAAUUUGAAUAAAAAAUUAAUAACGAUCUUACAUGUUCUUUUUCUUUAUCAAUAAAAAUUACUAAUUUUUAAUAAAAAAUUAAACCCUAAACCGUUAUAAAUAUUCCUUUAAAUGUUCAUGGGGCAAUCUCGAUUGAAGCCAGGCAAAGAACUAAAGCCAAUUUAAAACUUCUCACUUACACUCCCUGCUUUCUACCACUAAUCCAUGCCUCCCUUCUCAACAUUCAUACAUGUUCAUUGAUAUUAAUUUUAGAAAAUUGAUGUAUUUUAAAUGUUUAAUUAUCAUAUUAAUUUUUGAAAACAUCUUUACAUACGUUUACUAUAAUAUAAUAGUUGUUAUCAAAUAUUGUAACACAUGUCAAAAAAUCCAUAGAUAUGUUUUAAAGAUAUUUAUUUAGACAACUAAAAUUUUUACAACGACCAUAAACCUAACUUUGUAUUCGUACUUAAUUAAGUAUAGAAGAUUUAGCAAUUUAUUUUCUAGAUCAAUAUAUAUUUAGAUUCUAGCAAUAUUGAUAAAUUUUUCAGUUUAACAGUUAAAUUUUUUUUUUUUCACACAACUAAUCUAUAUGGAGAAAAAAUUAUACAAAGAAAAAAUGAUAUUAUUAGAAAAUAGAUAAACUAUAAGAACAAAUAAUUCAAAUUUACUUUAAAAAAGAGAAAGGAAUAAUUGUAGUUUUGAUCUUUAAUAUUUAGCCUCUGUACCAAAUUGGUCCCCAAUGUUUCAGUCAAAAUAAAUCGAAUCCCCAAAAGUUUGUGAUUUUAGGUAGAUUUAGGACAACUAAUGGAAAUAGAACAAUGACUAAUGAUCAACAUCAAAUUACUACUAGUCAACAACUUUGACUUUGCACUUUUUGGUCCCCCCAUGGUUUUGAUUUUGAAUCAUUAUAGCUUUCUAAUUUUUAAAUAGUGAUAUUAGGGAAUUUAGCAUGAAUUGAGAUGCAAAUAAAAUGAAAUAGUGUUAAAUAAAACAAAUAAUCUUGAUUUACAAAAUUAUUAGAAGAGAGAAAACUAUAAGAAAAACUAAUUAUAGAAGAGUUAGAUACAAAUAUGGGUAAAGUUCAAGUAUCCAAAUAAUCCAUUAAUUUUCUUCAAUUAGGCAUAUAUGCCACAUAGGAGAGAACAUAUGGGUAAUUAGAAUGAUAACUAUCACAUAUAUAAAUAUAUAUUUGGGGAGUGGAAUUCUUGCAACAAAGUUUAAAACAAGUGAAAGACCCUAAUCAGGUCAAUAACUUCGCACUUGGUGACUAAUACCCCUAACUAUUACAAAAGUUAAAUUAUUCUUAUGUUCUGAAACAUAUCCACCAACCUAACGACAAAAAUCAAAAGCAAAAAAAAUUAAUAGAUAUAUGUGAUAAUAAGUCAAGAUUAUUAUUACAAUUCGAGAAAUAAAAGCAACUUCAAAUUAUCUGAGACCAAAAAAGAUGUCUCUCGUGAGUUGCAAAAACAACUUCAAAUAAUCUGACACAAGACACUUAGAAGUAUAGCUUAUUACGCUCCGACGAUAAACUAAUGGGCCCAUAGGAGUUAGCUUGGCAAUGGGCCAAAAUGAGUUGCGAUUGGGCUUGAAUAUCGCGCGGAUGUGUGUUUCUUCCGAACAUAUGGUCAUAUUUCUGGUGAAACCUCCACAAAUUUCCAGUAAAGGAGCCCUUUAAAAAAAGGAUUUAAAGAUGGCCUAGAAAAGAGAAAAUUAUGGCAUAAAACAAUAAGAGAGGACAACAUAAACAGUUAUACUUCACAAAAAAGCUUAAAAUGGUCGCAUAUGUUUAAUAGUUAUCAAAUGACAUAAUUCUGAUUACUCCACUUGUGUCCAUCAAUUAAUUGAUUUGAUAAACAUUCCAAAACCCUCCAAUUUCAUAAAAUGUCAAUCACUAUAUUGUUGUUAGGGGCACAAACGAGUCGAGUUUUAGUUUAAUCGAGCCAAAUUUCGACAUAAUUUUUCGUAGUUCGAACUCAAGAUCGAACUUGACGACCUCAAAAUGUCAAACUAGAGUUCGAGCUUGAUUCAAAUUCGAGUUGAGUUCAAGCUCGAAUUCGAGCUUAAAAAAAAUAAAAAAUACUAAUUAUUUUAUUUUUAAAAAAUGAAUAAAAUAAUAAAAUAUCAGGGAUAUAUAUGUAAUUUUACUAUUAAAAUAAAAACUAAUAUAUAUAUAAAUAUAUAAUCAAUCUCAAGUCGACUUGCGAGCUAACGAGUUUAGUAUUUUUUUGAGUUUGAAUUCGACUUAACCAGCUUGAACUAGACUCAAACUCGAUGUUGAUCGAGUUCAGAUUCGAACUGCUCGCGAUCGAUUCGUGAGCGACUGGAUUUGUUUGCAACUCUAAUUGUUAUACAACGGCAAUCAACAAAUAACCAAAAAAAAAAGAAAAAGAUCAAAGAAAAAGAAAAAUGUAUGCCAAAUUCAAAACUAAUUCUAAAUUUUUUAGCUUAGGCGAAGAUGAUCUUGACAAAAGUUAUCACAAUGAGCCAAUCCAAUGAAAGACGAACUGAGUCCAAAGACAAAAGGGCCGUAACGGCUCCAAGUAGAAGAGAAAGGACACGUAAAUCCAACGAAAACUUGAACGCAUAAGAUAAGCCUUCUAACCAACCAAUCCCUUCAAUGAAAAAUUUAACUAAAGUAUGUUUCUUUAAAGCAAUAAUUUCAGAUUGACCGAUAUUAGCUCAAUUUUUGUACGAGUAGUACUAAAUUACUAAAAUAUGAACAGUCACCUUAUGCACUCUUAAAAGAGUACUGCAAAAUUUCAUAAUCUGAACCUAACAAAUCCCAAAUCCUCUGGCAUUUGUUUCAAAUUAGACAAAAUCUGAUGGCAUCAAUUUUUUUUUUUGAGAUAAUUAAAACUAAACAGUGAUGAAGGAGGGGCGGUUCAAAGGAGGAAGUAUAAGUGAGAAAUUGUGGGUUCGACCCUCCUAUUUACACUAUUAAAAAAAUAAUGAUAAAAAACCAAAAGGCCCUAAUGCAUAAAGAAAGGAAAAAGUAUAAAUUAAAUAAAUUUGAGAACUUGUCUUUUUUCAAUGAGUCAUCAUCUUAGAGAUCAUCAUAGAUGAGGUUUUGUAAACUUUUCUCAUCUUUUUAUUUUCCUAGACCUUGUUUAUGGGAUUAAAAAGGUCAUCAACUAGAAUGAGUAAGAGCCAGAAAUAUCAAUUAUGAAAACAUCUACGAAAACAUUUAAUGCAACACUUAUUAAAACUAUAUGUAUCUAUUUAUCAUUGAUCUUGCACAUUUGUAAAUAUACCAUUUGGUAUAAUUUUGUCGUAGAUCAGGUGUGCUGAUACCCAUGAUUUUUUCAAAUAUAGCAAAUAUAUUUGUGUUGAUAUAUUCAUGAUCUUUUCGUUAUAUAGUAGAUAGAUUUGUGUUGAUCUUCUCAUGGUACACAUUUCAUCAUCUUAGGAAUUUGUGCCAGCAGGCACGUAGUAUAAUUGACGUAUUUAGUCGUAAAAGUCAGGUUUGCAGCAUUUUUAUCCCAUUGAUGGCACAGAAAAACCUGCAUAAGAAAAUAAAAUAUUUGUGAUGUCAAAAAAAUUAAAUAAAAUAUAUUUGGCACAUAAUAUCUUGAAUAAUUUAAUAAUUUUUGUUUGUAAAAUUUAACAAACAAGAACAAAAAAAGGAAAGAAAAGAAUGCCAAAUAUAUACAUUAUGAGUAAGGAUUAUAGAGCAAUAAUGAGAACGACUUGAAAUAUUAGGUAAAUAAUUGAAUAAAUAUUAUUAACUACAGGAUGUAAUUGUACACAUAUCAUUGACUAAAGUUAGACUUGUACAACCUAUAUAUAUGUAACAAACAAACAAAACCGGAAACAUUAAAGAAAAAAAUAGAGGCAACCAAAGUGAUGAGGAAUUAUUGAAGAAAGAUCCAUAUCAUAAGAGCAAGUUAAUUAUGAGAGACAAAAAAGGGAAUAAACUCAGAAUCAAAUUUGUAUACUUACUCAUUAAAGACCAGCACAAUCAUAACGAUUGGUUGAAAUCCAACUACGAUUUCUUCUGAUUCUUUAUACAUAAAAGUUGAACUUGACCUUAGCCCUAAUUCGUAGCGCAACUAAAAUAUCAUAUUAAAGUAACCUAUCAACCUUACAGAAUUUGUGGAUAAGUUGCUAAAACACAAUUAAGGUGAAUGUUAGUUUAACCAUGUAAGUGACAUGAAUGUUAGCUGAGUUGAAAAGUUUAAGAACAGAGAUAAGUUUUAGCAUUUUGUAAGAAGUACUUAUUCACGUAGGAAGUUAUAAAAAUAACUAUGAAGAGUAAUUUGGAAGUUGUUAUCUGAUGUAAAUUUUUGCAUUAUGAGUUUUCUUUUCUAAAAUUUGAGAUGUUUUUGUUAGAAUGUUUACCAUCAAAUUCAAGAAAUAAAAUUUAGGUCAAAAUGUAGAAUAUCCCCUUGUGGAUCAGCAUUUGCACUUUACUCCCCUAUGUUUUGGAAACAUACAAUCUAACACCUUGUGGUUUCAACUAUUAUAAAAAACUCAUAGAACCCAUUAGAAGCAAUGUUUUUGAAAACCGGACUGGACCAGUCGGUUUGAUCAGUCAGACUGCGAACGGGUCAUAGCUCUGGUCCAAUUCAUACUUUGGGUUAAUUAGACUUAGAAACUGGAUUGAACCAUUCAAACCGUAUGAACCGUGUGAACCGAAUUGAACCAUUGAACCAAUAAUUUUUUAUUUGUGUCUAUUAAAUUGAAAAAAAUUACAAAAAAGAAUAGUUUUUCUUUAACCCUAAAGACUAAUUAUUAAAUGCCACAUCCAUUCACUUUCCUGAUUCCUCCAAACUCCAAUUCUCUUUUUUUUUUUUUAAGUUGCAAUCUUUAAAUAUAAAAAAUGUGAAUUAAAAUUCACAAUGUCUAAUUCCCAUAGACAUAAAUUUUGUAUAAUUUUAGAAUAUUGUGGUAUUUUUGGGUUGGAUUUAAGAUUAUUUUUUUGGUAAAUUUAAUUAAGAUUGAGAUGAAAUUUAUUUAUUUUAACUUAUAAUUUAAAAAAUUUAUUUGUGAAAAUCCAAAUUCUUUGAAAAUAUUAAACUUUUCAUCAUAUGAAGUCUUAAAUAGUCCAAUGCUUGUCUUAUUUUGUACAUAUAUAUUUAUAUAAAUUAUUUGAAAAAAAAUUUAUUGAAUCAGGAUCGAACCGGUCCGACUGAUUGAAUCUCGACCUGAACACUUUACCGGUUCAAUUGACGGUCCGAGUUUCAAAACGUUGGUUAGAAGUGACAGGAGCAUCCAAAAUGCCAAAAAUACCCCCUUAAAUAAAGAUCCAACAUUUUGACCAAAAAAAAAUAAAGAUCCAACAAGAUGAAACUCAUUUGCUUCUUCCAAUUUGUGAUGAAGUGAGAGAAUACCCUAAAGAAAGAAGAAGAGAAAGAGAGGGAGCUUGACUAAGGCAUUGUGAAUUGGAGCAGAGGAGGAAGGUCUACUAUUAGAGGUAUUGUGAAUUGGAGCAGAGAAAGAAGAUUGACUAUGAUAGAUCCAAGUAUAGUUGGUAAGUUUUGGGUUUAUAUUGAUUAUGUUCAAAAAUUUAUCUUAUACGAUGCAAUAGUUAUUGUCAGCAAACAAGUCCCAAGGUUAUGGGUUUGUUAUUAUUAGUUUAGGGUUUUCAUAUAUUGGUUACUACGUAAUGCUUGGGGGUUUGGGGGGUUUAGUAGUUAAGUGCUGCGGAGCACUUCAAAAGUUGCCGGCUUUUGAAGUGUCUUCGCAGAGUCCAUUUAUCGAAACACUCAUACAAAAAACUGUGAGUUAUGAAAAGGGUUACUACGUAAUGCUUAGUGGGGUAUAUCAAUACUGUAUUAUAGUGUUUGGUUUGCUUAUGAAUUCAAAUAUGUAAAGACAUAUUCAUAAUAAUUAGUUGUUUGUAGUCCCAAGCUUUAUAGAUCUCUUUUCAAGGUAUAUAUAACAUAAUACAGUUGUAUAUAUAUUAGAAAAUUUGAUGACUAGUCCUAAAAUUGUGUUGACAUAGAACUCAUGUAUUGCAUUUAAAGAUAGAAACUAUAUCAAGAUUAGUCUCUGAAUUGGAUUUUGUGCAGAUCCGUGUAUAUCUAUCAGCCAUACUCAUAAAAAUUAGUUGUUUGUGGUCCCAAGUAUUAUAUAUCUCUUUUCAAGUUGUAUAUAACAUAAUGUAGUUGUCUUAAGACAAUAUACUUGUGGCACUGAAACUAGUUUUUUGUCUUCUUAUAUUAUAUUAAACAGGGGAGCAUAAAAUAAGUGAAUAUGUGGAAGUGCAUAUGUACUAUGGAGGAAGGUUCAAAUUGGAACAAACUAUUGUGUACAUAGGAGACAAGGUGGCAAUAUUUAGGAAGAGGAAUCCAAAAGAGCUUUCCAUUACGCUACUGUGCAAAAUGUAUAUGAAUGGUGGGUUCUGGUAUUGUAGUCCAACUAUUGAUUUGGAUGGUGGGUUUCUUCCAAUUAGAGGAGAAAAUGAUAUAAAACUAAUGAAUACUACACAUGAUAGGCUUCCUACAAGAGUAAUAAACUUUUGAAGAGGCUAAAAAUGAUGAUAAGGACAGAAUGGUCAAAAACAAUAUGGAGGCUAAAAUUGAUGAGGGUCCACAUGAUGGUGAACCUAAGUGGCUGAAAGAGGGGAUUGAGACAGUAGAAAAUGAAGAUAGUUUUGCUGACAAAAAAGGUGAUGAACCUAUUAAAUAAAUUUCAAGUUAUUCAAUGAAAUUUUUUUCCAUAUAACCAAAGGCAAGGUGGAAAAAAAAUCAGGCUGGUCAAGAAGAACCUGGAGUAGGGCAAAAUCUUUCUGUACCAUCAAGUAGUGAGAAGUCUAUGGAUGUUAGAAGAUCUAGGAAUGCACCUGAUGUCAUCAAGCAUGUGGAGCAUUAUGUGAAUAGCUAAACCUCUGCAAAUAAUAAGAGACUAGUCAGUCAUAAAGAAGAAGUUAGACUCAACAGUCAGCAAAAAGAUGAAGUCUUUGAAUCCAUGGUUGAUGAUGAGAAAUUGUGGACUCAUAUGGAUCUAAUUGUGAGGUGCAACAAGAAUAUCUUGACUUUGAUCCACAAGUCGAAUUCAAAAAAACCUCAUUUUGAGCUGAAAGUUGGUCAUAAGUUCAUGAACUUCCAAAUUUUUAGAUUGUAUUGAAAGAAUGGUGGAUUUGGGAGGUGUAUGAGAUAAGUUGGAUAAACAAUGACACAUAAAAUUAUAGCAAAAUAUGCCGAGGGUUGUACAUGGAGGAUUCAUGCAUUACGUAUCCAAGGCACAAAAACUUUUCAAAUAAAAACUUCGAAGGGUGAGCAUAUAUGUGGUAGGAAUACACUAAAAAGUUUGUGACUUCAUCAUAUCUGAGCUGAAGGUAAUGAUACAAGAUUAAAGAUGAUCCCAAAUGUGCUGUUACAGGAUUCUAGAAUGAGAUUAAAAGGGAUUUAAUGGUUGAAGUCUCAUCUGCCAAGAUUUACAGAGUUAAGAGAAAUGCAAAAGAAGAGAUAUAGGGGCUAGAUAUUGAGCAAUAUCAAAAAAUUUGGAACUAUGCAACUCCUGUAAGACAGACAAAUCUAGGAAGCACUAUAAUAUUACAGAUUGAUAAACCAUCAGAUGAUUCAAGAGGUACAUUUGAAAGGCUGUACUACUAUUUUUAUGGAUGCAAACAAGGCUUUCUUGAUGAGUGUAGACUUCUUAUUGGUCUAAAUGGGUGUUUUUUAAAGAGUGCAUUUGGUGGCAAACUUUUAUCAGUAGUAGGAAUGGACAGGAAUGAUAACAUGGUUCCAAUAGCUAUUGCUGUUGUUCAGGUUGAGAUAUAUGAUAGUUGGAAGCGGUUUUUGGGGUUAUUGAUGGGUAACUUAGGAAUGGGCAUAGACAACAUAAGUUGGACUUUCAUUUUAGAUAGGCAAAAAGGUCUAGUACAUGCAGUUAAGGAAGUUUUUCCAGAAUCCGAGCAUAGAUUUUGUCUAAGAUGUGUAUUAGAAUUUCAACCAGAUGCUCAAGGGAAAAGAGCUAAAAGAUCUAUUCUGGGCAUGUGUAAGGGCUGCUAAUUCCAUGGACUUACAAAUAACAAUGGAUGAAAUGACUAAGAUUGACCAAGAAGCUGCUAAAUGGCUGGCCAAAUUUCCACCAAACUUGUGGUCCAAGUCAGGUUUUAGAACUACCAGCAAAUGUGACAUUUUGGUAAAUAAUCUGUUUGAAUCUUUUAACAACUAUACUCUGCCAACAAGAGAGCAAGCUGUGAUAGGCAUGCUGGAGUGUAUUAGGAGAAGGGUGUAUUAGGAGAAGGUUAAUGCAAAGAAUCCAGGUGAAAAGAGUUGGAAUGGAGAAAUUUCAGGGCAAGAUAUGCCCCAACAUCAUGGAGAAAAUUGCAAAAAAUAGGACAUCUACUAGAGUUUGUGUUGCUAUUUUGGGUCGAAAGAAAAGAUAGGAGAUUGAUGCUAGAAUUAGAAAUAUAGUUGUAGUGGACUUGGAAAGCUAGACUUGUACCUGUGGCAUAUUCCAAUUGAGAGGUUAUCCUUGCACUUAUGCUUGUGCUGCAAUACCAACAGCAAGGAGUGUGAGGACCUCAAAAAUUUCAUUAUCCUCUGGAAAAUUAAAUCAAAAUAUUAUUGAAAAUAUUAAAAUUAUCCAAUAAUAUGUAUUUAUAUUUAAAUAGUAUUAUUUUCAAUCAUUCAAAUGUUACAUUUCAAUUUAUUUGAAUUUUUAAGAUUUAAUUGACGGUUCGCGUUCGGCAAAGCCCUAAGUUGAAUUUUCGCGCACCGACGCGCGAAUUAGUCCUAAGUUGAAAUGUAGUAUAUGUAGAGGCUAUAAAAAUGUAUAAUUAAGUUGGAGAAAUGUUAGAUGAGGAAUGUGAGGACUCGCAAUUUAUUUCUUUUAAAUUCCCAUUCUGAGGUUAUUUAAUUAGUUAAUUGUUCAAUUAUUUCGAAUAUUAUUUUCUAGCCCUAUUGGACCCAAUUCUAUAGCAUUAUAGCUCAUGAGUAAUUUUAAGGCAAUUAGUUCGCAAUUCAAGUCUUGAAAGUUGUUAAGUGUGAAUAGUGCCCGUAGGCUCAGGAAUAGUAACUGAUUUGAGAGUUCAUGAGCCCGAAUAAUGGGAGAUUUAUACCCUAGUCUUAAAAUAGGUAUUUUUUAUGCGUAAAUAUCCAUGUAUUAGUUAGAAAUGCCAUCGUUAUAAGAAUUUCUCAAAAAAUUUCACCUUAUCGCGCAUAAGUGGGAAAUACGCGUUUUACGCGUGCGAUUUAUUUGAAGGACUUUAGAACCUUAUUUUGAGGUUAUUAAGAGUGAAUGAUAAUUACAUGAAUAUAUGUGCAUUAGAGGUUUAGUACACAGUUAAAACAAACCUCAGAGGAAACGGGUGCAAAACGCGCGCGCGAUACACUGUUCAUGGUUGACUUGGGAGCACAAAAGUUGUACAACACUCAAGCUUCUCAAGGAAGCUUUCCAUUUCAGAUUUUCCCCUCCCUUUCCCCUCACCAUAACCGCCGGUCUCUACUCUCUCUCACACUCCAAAUUUCACAAUUUUUCCUCCACCAUUUUCUUGCUCCAAUUCACACCAAAUUCACCACACAAGCUCAAGACAACUUGGACAAUCACUUGGACAAAGAAGGAGCUGCACAUCCACGGAUUUUCUUGGGGCUUUUGGGACACCAAAAUCUGACCUUUUAGCACACAAGUAAGAUAACCAUGAUCCACUCUUCAAUUCUUGUUCAAUGAAGGCCAACUCACACUUAAGAGCUUGAUUAUGCUUAUGGGUAGCUUAUUAUUGUUGGAAAUUGUUAAAUGUGGGCUCUAUGAACUCCCACUUUGAGUUGAUGGCUGUGAUGAUGUUUGAUGAUGGUUUUAUUGUUGAAUUAGUGCUUAAGGAAGUAGAUUAAAGGUGCAUUAUUGCUAGAAACUUCAUUGAGCUCUUGAAGCAAAAAAUUCCGAUUCUGCCCCUGCCAAGACCGACCUUUUUCAUGCAAAAUUCUGAGGUUUUAACGGCUUGUAUUUGAUGUUUAUGUGUUGUUGCAGUUGUGUGUAAAGUUUCAUUGAAAGAUAUUGAGGUUUGGUUGACCAAAGGUGAUGAAUUCCAAAAACCAGCAAAAUCUGGAAAUUUUUCCCAUAUGGCUCAGGCAGCCAUUUUGUUUCGAUCAUAACUCUGCCCUCCGACAUCGAAAUUGAGUGCCGUUAGUGCCAUUAGAAACUAGACUCUUCCAGCUUUCCAACGGUGUAAAAUUCACUUCCUGGUUCCACCUGAGUGAACCGUGGCAGUCUUUUAAAGUCACCUAUCCUGCUCCACUGGUUCACUGGAAGCCAGGAUAUGAGCUGCGUUUUGUUGCCAGAUUUCGAGCUAGUUAUGAGUAGAAUUUUAAAACAAUUUCUUCUGAAAAAUUGUAUCCCUAUGAGUGUAGUUUCCAACGCUACCAACGAUGCUCAAAUCUAAGUUGAAUUGAAUGAGAUGUGACCAAAAUACGAAAACUGCUCUGCUGUUGAACCAAACUGUCCAAAUUUUCCCAGUUUGUGUUCGAGUUUUUUAUCUGAUUCUUGACAAGAAAUUGAGCUUCAUGGAUUGUGUAAAUGUUAAGCUGAAUGUCUAUGGUCAUUUGAGGGAAAAUGCACCACUUUCGUAGUUGAAAUGAUGUUGAGGAAUUGAAGGAAAAGGAAGGUAUAUGCUGUCCAAAGAAUUCUGGAAAUUUUCCAGAUUUUAGUCAAAUUUUGGGGGUCAAUUUUGACAAAUUUUUGAACUACUUGGGCUGUAUACAUGUUAACCUAUAUGGGUAGUAUUGUUUGGGUGAAAAUGUAGCUUUUGGGUAGAUGAAAAAUUUUGGAUAAAUUGAAGGGGAAAUGGACUACUUGCUACCGUAUGCACCUGAAAUUUUUCCAGUUUUGAAUGAUAAUUGUGAACUGUUUUCACGAUAACUUGAGCUCAAAUGAUUUGUGUAUUAAUUAAGGGGUUUGUAUAGCUCAAUUCAGGACAAAAAUCUAGUAGAGGUUACGUCCAAAAAGUGGACCAAAAUCUUAUUCUUCAAGAAGAUACCAAAACAGAAUUUUUGUUUGAAAUUAGAAAUGGUUUGAUGUUUGGAUUUCAUUGUGGGUAAAUGUGGACCAAAGUUGUCCCGAAAAUGUUUUCUAGCAUUAACCGUUGUUACUAGGUCCACUUUGAGUUAAUAACCUUGAAUUUUAUUAGACCAAAUGCCCUAUUUUGAGGAAUUUGUCAAAUCUGGAAAUUUUCCUAAAAACUCAAGUUUUUGCUUUCAUGAAAAUCAUUGGACUAAGUUGGUCGUGGAAUUUGGCAAUCUUAAGGAGUUUCUAUUUUAUAGAAAUUCUAACGACUAGUUUUACUUGGUUUAUAUGAUUGCCUCUUAAAGGAAUUUCCCAAGAUAUGUUUGGGAAAAAUUUGAGGGGAAAAUUCCUCUAAAUGGUUUAAAUGUGAUUUUUCUCAACUUGUGACACCAAAUUGGUGUUAAAUGGCUUAUAUGAUUCUAGAACUUGGAUGUUGGAAUAUUUGACGAAUUUAGCAAGUUUUUGGGUUUUAAAGAAACUUCAAAAUUUAAUUUCACUCGAUUUGUGGAUUUCACUUUAAAUCCUUUGAGAAAACGAUUAAUACUAGUUUGGGAUUUUUGAGUGAAAUUAAAUGCUAGUUGACUCGAGUUAAAUUCGCCAACUCAAAAGUGGAAAUUUAUGUGAAUUAUUAUGAUUUUAGGAGUUGGUGAAGAGCACAAUCUCGAUCAAAGUUUGGAAUUCUAGACACUUCACUUGAGGUGAGUGUCUCUUGCAUGAAUCGUGUUUAACUGCUAGUUGAACUACUUGUUAAAAGUACUUGUUAGAGAUAUCAUGAAAUGUUAUAUGCUAUGUGAUUGCGUGAAAUGCCACAAGUACAAGUGUUGCAAUGUCGAUUGGAGCGUGGUCUCGUCGACUAAAUAAACCAAACGGAUGCACGUACCACACUCUAUUAGAGUGAGAGGUACCUCUCUGCCGUCUUGGUAAAAGUGCUUGCAAUAUUCGUGUUGGAGUCGGGCCCGAAAAUAAGGGGGAAGACGUUGCUAGGAGAUGUGUAGAUUAGGGAAAAUAUCUACGUGGAGUUUAGGUAGUGAAAGUUGACGGAAUGUCAACUACUAUAAAUUUUCUGAUCAAGUGCGUGGACUUUGGCUCCUGAGAGCCCCGUAUCCUUUUCUUGUCAUGUUAUUUCGCUUUCUUAAAUUGUUAAGUGCUUACUUGUCUAUUUGUACUUGUUAAAUUGCCUUAUGUGAAUUGCAUGUUUCGAGGCACCACUAAACUAUUGGCUCAUCCCUUCCAAAUUGUUUUCCUUGACAGGUUCUGAAAUGCAUGAAGUCUUGGAGAACUAGAACAGAAAUGUUAUAUUUUGAAUACCCACUUUUGUAAUUGUAUUUUUGGAAACGUUAGUAUCUUUUGGAUGAUUUUUGUGUUUUUGGGAAAAUGUGAAUCCUGUGAUGCUUCUGUGCUCUGGAUUAGGAACUUUAAAUUGUAAAUUAAGUUGAAUUUAAGUAUACUAAGCUCGACGUUUUCGUUGGUACUUGGAAUUGUGUUUUGGGCUGUAUAAGUUGAAUUGUAUGAAUUAUUUAAGUACGUGACUUGCUCGAGAAGUAAGGUUUAUUUUCGAUUUAUAUUUGGUGAAAUUAGUUACUAGAGUGCGUGAGUCCUAGCGAGAGCUAGACAGGCGACCCGCCAACCCUUUGGUUCGCCUUAGGGAGAAGUGGGGCCGCCACAAGGAGACUAGUGGAAGACUUUAUUCAUAGUUGCUACAAGAGAGAUGCAUAUCUAAAUGUAUAUGUGUAUAUGAUUGAACUUGUUCCAAGUGAUACAUGCUGGGUAAAAUGCAAAGAACUUGGUCCUAGUCCACCUGCAAUUAGAAAGAUGCCUGGUAGACCAAAAAAGGUUCGUAACAGAGCUCUUGAUGAACCAAAAUAAAGGUCAAGUAUCAACCAGAAAGGGAGGGUCACAAUUCAUUGUAAGAGGUGCUUUAGAGCAGGUCAUAAUUCAAGAAGCUGCAAAAAUUCGAUUCACCCAAAUUCCAAGUUUUAUACGGUAAACAAAAUGUAGAAUUCUGCAUUAUUUAUGGUAAUUUCAGCCAUUAUUUAAACUUCAACUUUUUCCCGUGAUAGGUACCUGAAAGACUUACUGAUCAAGAAAUAAUAUCAAAUUCACUAUCACUUGAAAGACAACCUAACCAAGAAGCAGCUUCAAAUGUACCUGAUAAUGGCUAAUUUAUGAUAUUUUUGAAUGUGUUUCAUAGUGUUUUUGAGUCAAUUUAUAAGGUUAAAUGAUAUAAGUUGUCCAUCUUUUGUCAGUAAUUUGCACCUUGAGUUGAUAAAUGAAUUAGCUGUAAUUUCGUCAUUUUACUUGCAAAAUCUCAUUGUUUUUGUAGGUAAAAUGAUCAAACUCAAUUGUAAGUGAAAUGAGUGAAGAUUAGAACCUUAAGAAGUCACAACAAUGGCUAAAAAAUGUGGCACAAGUCAAGGACGAAAAGCAAAAAGGGAUUCUCUAUGGAUUUUGCCAAGAAUUAUGGGCAGAAUCUUGUUUCGCAGAGAAUCACUUGCUCUACACAAUCCCUGGGAGAAUCCCUUGAGAGAUUGGUCCGAGGAAUUCGUGGCAGUUGCAAGUUGCCAUCUUGCAUGAUUUUUAUUUUAUUUUUUCAUUUUUGACAAGACAAAAAGGGACAACUUGUACCAAUGUUUUGGGGUUCUAGGAGUUUUUUUUUUUUUUUGACAUUUUGGCUUCAAUAAUACAAGACCAAAAAUAUAUACCACCUAGUUCUUCUAGUUUUGGGAGUUGCUAGUUCUAGUUAGUUUGAGAGAAGAGAGAGACUUUGGAAGACAAGACACAAGCUCUUAAGAAAUGUAACUCUCUUUAUUGUCUCUUGUUUUAGUGUAGGUUAGUAUAGUAUAAUCUAAUUGUGGUUAUCCAUUUUUGUAUUAGCUCAACAAGGAGGUCAAGGGAGAUGAAUAAGGAGAGACUCAAAAAACUCUAGUAACAAGGGUUUUUUUCUUUUCACAUCUUUAUUUUUGUAUUGAACUCUAAAUUUGUUAAUGUAAAAUUUGGAUAUUGUGUUUGUGAUGUUGAUUUAAAGUAUAUGCCUUGAAUAUUUGAUUGAAUUUUCUAUGAUUGUUUACUGUUGAUUUCUUGCCUAAUUGAUGUUAUUAUCUUGUUUGAGUUAUUUAGCACUUUUGCUCUUGUAAUCAUGAUCAACUGGUCAUUAAUUAUUAUGAUUUCAAGGUGUUAGAUUUCCAAUAAGAAUUGAAAUUUGAUACUAGUUCAUAGAAGUGUUAAACUUAGGGAGUACACUCACAAAAAUAAAGGUAUACCUUUAUGGUUUUUUUGAUUUUGUUCCAUGUAAUUUCAUAGAAGUUAAUGAACUUGUAGUUGAUUUCAUAACCACGAAAGUAGUUAUGAAUUAACCAUAGGUAUAACUGGUACAUUGGCGAAAGCGGGUAUUACGAAUAUUAGGAAAUUACGUCAUAAUUUAGUCGAGAUUUUGGUACUUAUUUGGUUGGGGAGUUGCCUAACAUAAAUAGGUAGGGAUUCUAUUACCUAAGAAGUUUUUAUUUGUAUUUGUCUAUCCAUUUAUAGUGUAGUUUAUUUGUUUUAAUUUGAUGACAAUCUGAAUAAUAGAGAAAUUUUAGUAGUGCCGGUAGUUGUCCAUUUUCUUUAUGGGUUUGAUUGUUAAUACCCUAUACUCGCUUACAACGCGUAUACUUGCGAAAAAUCGCGUGUGGGGUAUUUAAGAAUUUAUAAAUAUAAAAUUUGAUUAUAAAUUGAACUUAAUUAUUAUAUACAUACUUCGCGCUCGUCAAGUUUUUAGCGCCAUUGUCGAGAAAGACUCGUGGCAAUAUCUGCGUGAAGAGCAACUUUAUUAAUUUAGACAUUUUAGUUAUAUUUAUUGCAUGUAUUGUGUUUGAUAUUUUGUCUAAAUGUAGUCUUUUAUGAGUUUGUUGAGUCUAGUUGCAUUUGUGUGUUGAGUCUUGUAAGUCUCUUAUGUUAUUGUCUUUUAUCUUUGUGUUUAGUUUGUAUAUAUGUAUCAUUAUCUAUUCUUCUUGAUUAAUCUUGAUCUUAAGUUGUUUAAAAGCAUUUUUAGGACAUGAGAAUGAUGGAUCAAAUGGGCAGACAAUAUUUGAGAGAUAGAAGUUGGAACUAUAAUUCACAGUUUUCUCAAUGUGCAAUGUAUAGUGGUGGUAAUCAAGAAAAAGCCAUAGAUAUGCCUUUUAAUGAUGGUUUGAAGAGUUUAAAUGCUUAAUUUGACUAUAUUAUGUUAUGUACUAAAUUGGACAAUUUAAUGCAUUUGAUUGAGCAAUAUAGGAGUGUUGAUGCUUUGAAUUCCAAUUAUGUAGUUUAUGACUUGUGUGGAGGCUGUCAUGCUAAUUAUCAAUGUGUACAAGCACAACGUGUGGAUCAAUGUGAUGAAUUUUGAGCAUUACAAUUUUUAUUUUGAUCAAUAUGACCCUAAUUGUGGUAAUUCUUCUGACUAUGGUUGUGAUAAUCAAGAUGUUUAUAAUGAUUCUCUAUAUUUUUAUGAUUACUAAACCCAAUAUAUCCAAUAUAUCUAAAUCAUCUUGGAAAUUAGCUAUUGAAAGGUUAGCUAAUACACUUCUAUUUUAGGAGUUAACCAUAGAAGAAAAACAGAAUGAAUAGGAGCUUGCUAUAGAAAAAUUUACUAAUGAAGUAAAUUUAGAUAUAUAGAAAGGCUAACUAAUGCAAUUUCGAAUUGUUUUGAUAGGAUCGAAGGAAGAAUAGAGGAAUUAUCUUCACAUUUUGAAAGAAUACAUGACCAAUUACAUGAGUUGUAUGAAAUUAUUUCAAAUAGUAAUAUGUGAAUUAACCCUAUUAUGAAUGUUGGGAAUGUUGUAUGUAAAAGUGAAUUGUAUUUUGAUGAAAAUGAUGAAUCUAUUUUGUAUUUUAAUGAGGAGAUGUCCAUUUCACAUGAUCAUAUCUUUGGAACUAAUUUUGAACUUUAAGAGACAAAUAUUAAGGAUUCAUAUUUAACCCCGCUUGAGGAGAGUGUUGAAAGUGUAGGUUCUAAAAAUAUUAUUGCCCAAGAAAGCCAUGCAGAGGAUCCUUUAGUCAGCUAUCAAAUGUUGCAAAUGUAAGGUAAUAUCUAUCAAGCACUUGUGAUUGGUAAGCCAACUCUGGCUCUCAAAUCAUAUGGAUAUAAGGCUCAUGAGAUGGAAUCACCCAUUGUAGACCCACCACGACCUAAAUUGGUGGACUAUUUUUUGAUAAAACCUUCUUGAUGAGGGAAUAAAGUCGAGCUGAAUGACUUUAAUCAAAGCUCCUGUUGAGAAGCAACCCAAUGAUUUAGUUAUUUUUUUUCUAGUGUUUAGCUUGUUUCUCAUGUUUUUUAAGUUUAAUAUAUGCCUUUAUGUAUUUUGUAGGUUGCAAAAUCAACAAGAUCUUGAAAAUGGUCAAAAUUACACUUUUGGACAAGGUAUAAAGGGAGUUUCAUAUUUAAACUAUACAUUUUAGGAAUUACAUGCAUUUUGAGCAUUUGAUAUUAAUUCUAGUCUAUAAUGCAUGUAUAUGUGUGUUUUGAAUGCAAAUGUAGUGAAUGAGGCGAGUUUGCAAUUUUAAAGGUUAAAUUUAAGGUGUUAGUGUUUGAGGAAGUUGGUUCAAAGUAAUUUUAUUAAGUGAAGAAAAUGGAAUUGAAGAUUUUGGUCACAAUCCCUUGGAGAAACCCAUGGGAUUCAUUUGAAUAGCAUGCUUUAAAGAAGUAAAAGCAGGCUUUUUCCUUCAUUUUCUUCUUCAUCUUAGGCACACAACUAUAUACUCACACACCCACUUUAUCAAAUCUCCAUUUUGCACCAUUUAAAUCCCUCAAAAUCACCACAAAGUCACUCCAAAACAUCUUGUGAGCAACAUUCAAACAUCAAACAUCAUCAAAAACACCUACUUUUGAAGAUUUGAGUCAAGAAUCUUAGGGUUCUAGAUUUUCAUUUCUUUCAAUUUGGAGUUCAUUUGAGCCAACUUUUGGAGGUUAUUACAUCAUUUGCUUUGCAUUUCGUUACUCUACAAGUUUCAAAUAAGUUUCUUGACUUUAUUUGACCCAUUUAAAUUUCAGCAUAGUUGAAUUUUCUUGAAUUUUUGGAUGAAUUUAUUGGAGUAUUUUUUAUGAAUUUUGUUGUUGUUUUGAUGUCUAUUGAGCUCAUUUAACUUCCAUAAGCAUGUUAAUUUAUCUAUUUUGGUUGAAAUUGAUGCAAUGUGAGGAAUUAAGAAAAAUGUCACUCCUUAAAUUCUUUGAUAAAUAGGCAAUUUUCAUGAGGUAUUUAUUUAGAUUCAUUAUACUUAUUGUUGGUCUUAUAUAGCAUUUUUUAGGAUGUAUAAGUGCUUAUUUUCAAUAAAUGAAACCAAUUGUGAAUUGUGAAUUUGACGUAUAAUGGUAAAUGUAAAUUCUAGAAUAAUUCCAGAACUCAUAAGUUUGUCUUAAUUAUGAUGUUUUGAGGACAUAAUGCAUAUUAUUAGAGUUUUUUAUGCUAUUUGGUGAUAAUUUUUUUUGGGAAUAUGCUUCUCAUAAUUUUUGAAAUUUUCUUGGCAAUGUUGAAUUGGUACUUUAAUAGUUUAUAUUCUCCAACUAAGGUUGCUAUAAAAUCAAUGUUGAUAUUAUCCGAAGGGGAAAAGAAGCAACACGAACAACAAGAGAAGAAGACACAAGUGGAAAAGCACCUUAGGAACUAACCUCCAAUUUCAACACAACCUUAGCAUAAAGAUGAAACAAUUCAUAGGGGAGAAGUGCACCAUGUCCUUUCUUAAUUUUGAUCUUUUGAUAUUGCAUUUAUCAUGAAACUUGAUAUUGCUUCUAGUGUGUUUUUCAUAUUUUUUUAAAUUGCUUUACUUGAACUAAUACUACUCACUUUAGUUGAACUUCGCUCUUCUUGGUAUGGCUACUGGAACGAUAGGGCAAAUUUCAUAUCAUGGUCUUGAACUUCAUUUGCUUAAAUAGGGGAGUAUUGUUUUUGCUUUUAUCGUUUUCCUAACUUUCACAUUGAGGACAAUGUGAAUUUUAAGUAUAGGGGAGGGAAAUGGGUUUAGGGGAAUAUGUUUAAUUUUUCUGUGACUAUGCAAUGACGAUUGUUGACUGAAAUUGUAUUGAAAAUGUUGGAAUGUAUUUUGAAAAUUUUGUCUUGUGAAAAAAAAUUUUCAAAUUUGAAUUUGUUGGCAGGGAGUUUUCCGAGUUAUAAGGGAAACUUUAUCAAAAAUUUUUCAAAAUCUUUUUCGAAAUUCCACUAUGGCUCGAAAAGUUUGAGAAAAGUCAACAAAAUAUAACUUUCAAGAAGUUAACUCUCGUACUUGUUGGAUUUUGAAAUCUGCUUUUGAACAUUUCAUUUCCUAUGUGACUUGGAAUUAGUUAUUACGUGAUUAAAAUUUUUACAUUUUAGAAAGUAUAUUGGGUAAAGUAGAGAGAGUUAUGCUUAUAUUUGCAUGUUAAUGAGAUUUCUUCAUUUUAUUUAAAUCUACAACUAAGUAAUUGAUACAGUCAAUUAAAUGAUACUCUUCCUACUCUAUAUAAAUUGCUUUAAGAGGGAUUUUAUAUUCUCAAAAAAAAGAGAAAAAAAGAGAAAAAGAAGAAAAAAAGCAUAAAAUAAGAGUUUUACUUCAAUGAUUCUUGUACUAAGUAACCAGAAGUUUUCAUCUAAGAAAGGUACUUGAAUUAGGAGUAGUUAAGUUACUUGAGUGUGCGAGUGUUGAGUAGCCGUGGAUUUUCAUCUAAGAAUGUCAAUUUUCGUGUCAAAAGACACUUUCAUAACUUAAGUAUUUGUUGAUAAUUUGUAUGAAUAAUUCCCUCUUUAAACUUAAGUUUUGAGGAAAAGAUGGUGGUAGGAGAGUGCUAACUAUCUUUUGAUUGUAUGAGUUGCUUAUUUGUAGAGUUAACUUAGGGUAAGAGAUUGAAUUGAACAUGACUAAAUUCAAGUAUAAUAGUCGCUCCUUUACUAGAUAUUAUGAGUAUUUAGUGGAAUUUGAAUAAUUGCAUAAUAGUUGAUUUCUGAGUUAUGGGAUUUGCAUUUGAAAAAAUAUAUUAUUUGACUAGGCACUUGGAUCAUUGGUUGUGUAAUUGUUGAUAUUGUUUGAGAACAAAUAAUGAUUCAAGUAUGGGGGAGUUAAUAAUGGCUAAAUUUGUGAUAUUUUUAAAAGUGUUUAUGGUAUUUUUCAGUCAAUUGGUAAGGUUAAAUGAUAUAAGUUGUCCAUUUUUAUCACUAAUUUGCACCUUGAGUUGAUAAAUGAAUUAGUUGUGAUUUUGUCAUUUUACUUGCAAAAUCUCUUUGUUUUUGUAGAUAAAAUGAUCAAGUUCAAUUGGAAGCGAAAUGAACACGAAUUAGAAGAUUGAGAAGUCAUAAUAAUGGCUAAAAGAAAUGGUGCAAGUCAAGGAUGAAAAGCAAAAAAAAAAAAAAAAAAAAAAAAAAAAAAAAAAAAAAAAACAGAAUCCCUCGAUGGAUUCUCUAUGGAUUUUGCUAGGAAUUAUGGGCAGAAUCUCAUUUCGCAGAGAAUCACUUGCUCUGCAUAAUCCCUGGGAGAAUCCCUUGAGGGAUUCAUGGCAGUUGCAAGUAGCCAACUUGCAUGAUUUUUAUUUUUUUUUUCAUUUUUGUCAAGACAAAAAGGGACAAUUUGUACCAACUUUUUGGGAUUCUAGGAAUUUCUCCGUUUGGCAUUUUGGCUUCAAUAAUACAAUACCAAAAAUAUAUACCACCUAGUUCUUCUAGUUUUGGGAGUUGCUAGCUCUAGUUAGCUUGAAUGAAGAGAGAGAGGGUUUGGAAGACAAGAAGAACAACCAAGGGGUUGUAUCUUGCCCUUUGAGGCAAGACACAAGCCCUUGACAAAUGUAAUUCUCUUUAUUCUCUUGUUUUAGUGUAGGUUAGUAUAGUAUAAUCUAGAUGUGGUUAUCCAUUUUUGUAUUGGUUCAACAAGGAGGCCAAAAGAGAUGAAGAAGUAGAGGUUCAACAAACUCUAGUGACAAGGGUUUUCUUCUCUCCACAUCUUUAUCUUUGUAUUGAACUCUAAGUUUGUUAAUGCAAGAUUUGGAUAUUGUGUUUGUCAUGUUGAUUCAAAGUAUAUGUCUUGGGUAUUUGGUUGAACAUUUUAUGAUUUUUUGAUGUUGAUUUCUUACCUAAUUGAUGCUAUUAUCUUGUUUGAGUUAUUUAGCACUUUUGCUUUUAUAAUCAUGAUUAACUAAACAUUGAUUAUGAUCAUCACAAGGUGUUAGAUUUGUAAUGGGAAUUGAAUUUUGAUUUUAGUUCAUAGAAAUGUUAAACCUAGGGAGUAUACUCACAAAAGUAGAGGUAUAACUUUGUGGAUUUUGUAGUUUUGUUCCAUGUAAUUCCAUCGAAAUUACUGAACUUGUAGCUGAUUUCAAAACCACGAAAGUAGGUAUAAAUUAACUUUAGAUAUAUUUGGUACACCGACGAAAGUAGGUAUCACGAAUUUUAGGAAAUUAAAUCAUAAUUUAGCCGAGAUUUUGGUACUCAUUUGGUUAGGGAGUUGCACUAGCAUGAAUAGGUAGGGAUUCCAUUCCCAAAGAGCUUUUAUUUGUAUUUGUCUAGCCAUUUAUAACUUAGUUUAUUUGUUUUAGUUUAUAGAUAGUUUAAAUAAUAAACUUUAGUAGUGCCAGUAGUUAUCCAUCUUCCUUAUGAGUUUGACCCUUAACACCCUAUACUAGCUUACGACACAUAUAUUUGUGAAAAAUCGCGUGUGAGGUAUUUAGAAAUUUAUAAAUGUAAAAUUUGACUAUGAAUUUAGGUUAAUUAGUAUAUACAUAUCUCGCGCUCGUCAAGUUUUUGGCGCCGUUGUUGGGGAAGAUUUGUGGCAAUAUCGGAAUAAAGAGCAACUUUAUUAAUUUAGAUAUUUUAGUUAUAUUUAUUGCAUGUAUUGUGUGUGAUGUUUUGUCUAAGUGUAGUCUUUUGCGAGUUUAUUGAAUCUAGUUGUGAAUACAUUUGAAUGUUACGAAACUAAAAAUGUUGCCAUAAUUACUAUAAUCUUUAAACACUAUGAUACACUAAUACUAUUACUAACUCCUAUUUUUUGUGUAUUAGGCAUUAAACUAUUAAAACUUUAGCAUGUUAAGAUGUUUACAUGUAUGAAUUUAUAGAAACUAUGAUAUAGGUAGGUGUUAUUUUCUAUAUAACUGCACAAACAUGUCAUUGUUGUCACACAAUUUUUUGAAUUUUUUAAAAAAUUGAAGUAUAAUUAAGGAAGUAUAAUAAGUAAAAGUUCAUUAAGUGUUUCAUAAGGUUAUGUUAAAAGUACAAGUAUUUUUUAGAAUGUUUUUGAUAUGUACAAAAUUUUUUUUAAAGUUAUAUAUACAAACGUAUAUUAUAUGAAUAUAAUACGAAUACUUAUUAACUCGACCAUCAUCUAACUUAUUAAUGUGCAUUGAGAAACAAUUUGUAUUUGCCAAUCUAUCUAUUGCAAAACUUACAAUUUAUAAUAUCAUUAAACUUGAACCGUAUUUAUUUUCAUCUCACCAUACCCUCUUCAUUGUAAACCAUUUUGUUAUGAAUUAAUUUUUCUUACACUGACAGUUUAUACGUUGUCAAUUCUGAAUGAAUGACAAUUAUGUAAAAUUGAAUUUGAACCUCAAUUUGUGCACAUAUAUCAUGGAUCUAAUGAUGAUAGUAUAUACACUAUCAGUGUAUAUAAGAUUUAUAUUUUUUUCAUUUUUGUCUUUCUUGUUUUCUUUUGUUUUUUUUUUUUUUGGUUCAGGUUGGGGGAAGAAAGCCUUACAAUAAUUAUAAGGCUUUUGUAGAGACAAUUUCUAGAAUAAAAAGGCCAAAUUUUGGGAGACUUCGGAAUUUUUUUUUAAAAAAAUUUUUUCCAGGAAGGUUAGGUCGAACUUUUGAAGUAAGGAGAUGGCAAGGGGAUUUGAACUUUGGAUCUCUAAUUUCUGGCCUAUCAAUUUUAGCUAUUAGACCAAGGCUCCUUGAUCGCUAAUUACUAAAAACUAAUUCCAUUUUUAGACUUGAAUUAUAAAUGAGCCUUUUUGAAACUGUAAUCUCCAACUCUAUAGUAAAUUGGGAUUGAUGUUCUAUUACUGAUUUACUGCAAUAAUAUUAACUAAUUACUUCAUGUAAUCUAGUUGAGAAAAGAUUUUGCUGAUGGUGGUGGCUAAUCUUGACAAUAGACCUUUUUUUUUAAAAAAAAUUAUGGAAAUGUUAGAGAAAUUUAGAAUAGGGAACUACAUUUAUAGGCUUUACAAUACAAUGACCUAUACAACUAACUUAAACAAUACAAUAGAUUGUGAAAAUAGAUUUAUACAAACUAAUAUUUAUCUAGUUGAUCCUAAAUGGUUAUGCACAAUCGUGUACAUUAAAAAGAAAAGGAUGCAAAUUUUAUUAAUAAAAUACUAAAUCCGCUUCAAGAGUAGAAAUAACAAAGGUAGGUCGACAAUAAUUUCAAACACAAGAAUAAGAAAAUAAUGAUGCAAACUUAGCUAAACGAAGAGCAACCAUAUUAUUAUUUCUUUUUUUUUAUAUAAAAAAUUUAAUAUUAUUAAUAAAUUAGUUAAAAAUCGUCGAUAAUGAUUUGCUUGACAAAACAAUCUGCACUAAUGGCAGAAAAUACAUAGAAUAUGUCAUAGAUAUAUCUGAUCUAAAAAAUCAUUAGAUUUAGCAAAGUUACAAAAUAUAAAAAUUGUAUUAUGAAUCACAAACUAUCAAAUUUGACCAAUUGCAUGAGCUGCUCCAUAAAUAUCUAUGCAUGUCUAUUCUCUUAGUCCUAUUAUCCAACUAGUUUGAACUCGAAACUAAUGUUGAGAUCUGACAAGAAAACUCAAGAAAUUCCAGAUCUAAUAUACAAAUCUAGAAAAACUCUUAGAUAUAAGGAAAAGAUAACAAAACUAAACAAAACUCCCACUAAGAUAACUUAGGAGAGAAGAAAAUUCUCACUAAUAAAACAUUAGGAGAGAGAAAACUCUCACUAGAAUACCAUAUAAGAGAUUUUAUCAAACAAAAAAUAAAAAUAGAGGAAGAGAAAAAUAGACCUUGACUUGAGGUUAAGAUCUCUCUCAUAUGGAGAAAGAAUGGAACAGAGAAUGUUGAGAGUAGAGAGAAUGGAGAGAUAGAAAGAAGACAGUGUGAGAAUGACAUUACUGUAGGGUUUGUUAGGAUAGGAGUUUAUUUGGAUAAUUUAUUUGAGAUAAUUACUGUAGUACUUUUUGUGAUAUGAUGUAUGUGAGAUAAAAAGAUGAUUGAGAAGAUAAAAAAGUAAUUGGAAUUUGUGAAGUAAAUUAUUUUAUUUCAAAACUAUGCAAUCCAAACACACUCUGGCAUCUCCAAUCAAAAUACCAAAGUGUGUAUAUCUAUAGUUCAAAACUUGAAAUCAUCUUGAUGGUGUUUUGCCAAUCUUCCUCAAGGAUUAUCUCAGGUAGGUUAAUCUAAGAUUCACUUAUAAAAAGUGAUUCACAACCACGAAAUGCCUUAACUGAUAGAUACAAAUAUGAAAAUUUUUUAAAUUAAGGAAGUGUACUAUCUUUCACUUUGUAUCUAUUAUGUAGAGUCAUGUGUCUUAUAUAUAGAGUAGCAUUUUUCUAUUACAAAUUACAGUGGCUAAUCCUAAAGAUAGACUUGGAAAGUUAAUUUUAGCUGAUCCUAAUUAUCUCCAAUGUAGGCUUGGAUUUUGAUUACUUAAUUAGGGUUAGUUUUAUUUUGCAUCCUUUAACUAUACUCAUAUCCCACUUUGAUUCUUAACUUCAAAUGAGAACAUUUUACUCCCUAAAGAUAGAAUCUCUUUCACUUUAGUCCCCAUAAUAUAAAAUUUGUUCUAGUCCUUAAAAUAUAAAAUUUAUCAUACAUUAGUUUCUAAAGCAUACUCCCUUCAUCCUAUUGUUAAUGUCAUGUUUUCAUUUUAUUGAUGUUCCAAAAUAAGAGUCACUAUUUCAAAUUUAACACAUAUUUUCCAAUCUUAUCCUUUGAAAAUACAACUUUUUAAAAAUCUCAAUGCACAUUUAACAAAGAAAUAUUUUGAAUCCAAAAGUUACAUAUGUAAAUUCACCAAUGCCAUCUCAAUUAGACAUAAUGAAUACUUUGUUUCUAUAAAAUAUUGGAUUCCCAAAAGCCGACUCUAAUAUUGGGAUGGAGGAAGUAACAUUCUCCUACUUAGGUAGAAAAUUUAUCACACUUCUAUCAACCAUUCUAUUAAAGUGGAAUUAAUUUUAUAUUUUACGGAUUUGAAGUUUCUAAACUAAGUAGAAGUUCGUGUAUCAUUGAAGGGUGCAAACUAGAAUUAACUUCUACUUAAUGAUGCCAUUCAAAUCUUUGAUUUGGGAGGGGACCUCAAUAAGUCACACUAAUCAAAUUCUACUUAGCUACUUCUAUAUGAGUGGUGGGUCCCAUUUAUGGAAGUUGAUUGGACCUUAAUUGGGGUGAAUAAAAAGUAAAGCAUCAUAUAAUUUUAAGGACGCAUCUAUAGUCUAGUAUCAAAACUAUGCAAGCGGUGUGGGAAUUAAUAAACUAUAGAAGAAGAAAUUAGAGUAAAACUUGUCAACUAAUAUAUCAAAAACUCAGCAAUAGGCCAUUGGAUGAAAGGUAAAGAAGAGUACUUGUUGUGCAAUAUAAUAUGAUGCACCUUGAGGACAUCGAAAGCACUUGGGAUGCAAUUGAGGGAUUCUUCUUGACACAUUCUAGAAACUUUAGUAGACGGAAAAAUAUCAGAUGAACAAAGUAAAACAGAACAAACUUUAGCUGACAAUUGAAGAAGAGCUAGGAACUUAAGAAGCAUUAAACAUGGAGUAUACAAGAAUGUUAGUAAAGAAUCCUACUUUCUUACUAAUAGUAAAGAAUAUGCUUUCUUACUAAUUGUUGAAGAAAGGUUUUAUGUCUUCAAAUCUAAUAAUAACUUACAUCUUAUACAAAGUUAUUUGCAAAUGAUCCAAAAAUGAAAUAGGAGUAAGUGAUGGUAAGCUAUGACUGGUAGAGUUUGAAGAAACACAAAUGCACAAAAACUAUCGGAAGACUAGUAGAUGAAGAAAAUAAAGGCUAUGUUGCUAGGUGUAAAUCACAAAAGGAUGCUGAGCAGGUUGAAGUUACCUUAAAAGAGCAUAACAGCAGACAUGAAUCAUGCUCGCUAGAUUCUUUGGUUUUGGAUAGAAAUAUAGAGUGACUAGACUUUAUAGAGAAACGAAUUAGUCAGAUAGAUAACAACUAUAAGAAUCCUAUAGCUGAUGUUCCCAUCGAAGAACCUAACCACAAGUGCAAAUGGGCGAACAUCAUUCGUAGUGGUGGUAUAACUAAGAAGAAGGUAAUCUCUCCUCAAACACUACCUCUGCGAACAAAGGAAGCAAAGAAUCUGAAAUUGAAAAAGAUCAGUAGAACCCGUGUAUCACAACAAUAGGGGAAUGUGUAUGCUCUUCAUCUAACGAAAAAUAGUGCCAUUGCUGUCGAAAAGAGGACUCCAAACAGGAUACAAAAAAGGCAAGAUUUACAGCAGCAAUGUAAAACUAGGAGGUGUUUGGGCUUGGUCAGUACAAAGAAUGAUGUAUGCUCGAACAUGAUAUCUAUACAAAUGACUAGUAGUAGUAGCAGUCUUAAGAUAUUAGAAUCGGAAUUGAAUAUCAUAUCCAAACCAACACUAAAAAGAGAUGACCAAAACAUCGACUUGAGAUACUAUAUGGCAAGAUUUGGUAGCUAUAUAAUUGUCGGUUGUUAUCUGGUUAUUUAUGAAUAACAUUUAAUUGGUUGCAAUUUGUGUAAACAGGAUAACAAAGAAAUUGAUCCUUGUAAGCUCCUCAUUCGGGUGAAGAACUAAAUUCUUGAUUAUCUACUAGAUGCUAAACUGCCUCCAAGGUAUAAUGUCAUACUUGUUUUGAAUUUCAACCAUUGAUGGUAAUGGUUAAUAAUAGAACGAAACUAACAUUUUUUGGAUUAUUGAGUAAUAUCUAUAGUACUUUGCUAAUAUCAACUCUAGGACAAAAUGCUAAUAGGAAGGAGUUUAGGUCUCUAGCCCCUUGUGAAUAGUUUCAAUGUGAAGUAAUUAUCUUCUUGUUUUCAUAUAGUUGUAUUCAUUGUUUUUGUUGGUAAUAAAAUAGUUCCUUGCUGCUGAUGUUGAAGGUGCUCAAUUGUUAUGCUACUUUAUUAACUAUACACACAAAAAGAAAUAAUCCAAGUGAACACAGUCGGAUAUGGUACAUGUCAACAUGGUUUCAGGUGAUGGAUUUUGUUAUAAUCUGUUGAACUAAUAAUCCCAUACCUAUAAUCCACUUAUACAAAAAUUAAAUGUAUAUCCCAGCAAUAUAGUGAAUCAUCUCCACCAUGGCUAGAAGUAUUAUACAAUAAGUACUUAAAAAAGGAGAACUUUGGUGGUUAUGUAGAUGCUGUUGAAAAGGUUUAAAAGUUUUUAUUUCAUCUUCUUGAUUUUUGUUUAUGGAGGAAGACAUUUGUUUAUUCGUAACUGGUCUUGUGUAGAUAUGCAUUCCUAUGAACUAGAAGAACAUGCACUGGUACAUAUUUGUGAUUGAUAUGAAAAGUGAAACAAUCCAUAUAUAUGAUAGUUUACCGGUUUAGGAGUUCAAUUUCAAUAGACUAUGUUUGGUGAUACAUGUGGUGAGAACUAUUAACUUUUGUAAUUACUUUAGAAGUUGGGUAUGCAAAUGCUUGUUCCAUUCUUAAUAUUAGUAUAUCUAUAGAGAAACAUACUCCAUAAGGCAUUGGCUUAUGGUCUUGGUGAAACUUAUAAGAAGAAUAUAUCCAAAUUUUCGUGCAUUAGGCCUGAAUGGUGUUCACAGCAACCAGAUAGGUAUAAACCUACUUACUGUCCUUUAAUAUUUGCAUUGGUCUCCUAUAGUUUUAGCUAUCAUUUGUAGGUAUUAAUGUUCUUCAAUUUUGCAGAAAUGAUUGUGGCACAUAGGUUAUGUAUUUCAUGAAGCAUGUCUUGGAGAUGGAGGCCGAAAUGGUUUUGGUGUUGGAUGAAGCACACUGUGCAUUGGCUUUGAAAUUGUUUCUCCAUCUGCUAAUUUAGUCCAUGAAGACAACUUGGGCUAUCUACCAUGCAUGAAGAAUACUUGUUUACUUACUUGACAAUAUUGCUUCGAUUUUUUGCUGGGAUAAAUUUUGAUGUAAUUGGCCUGCAAAUUUUUUGUUUUAGGGCAAUAGCCUGUAUUGAUUGGAAUGUUUUGUUUGUUGAGGGUCUUACCAAGAAAAUGACUUCUACUGUUGUGCUUCUUAUUGGAUUGAUUGUCAGUUUGUCUUGGAUGGAAGAAGUGAAAGCUGGAGUUGGUUUUGUAUUGAUCAAGACAAUUAACUAUAAACUAAUAUAAAAUUAAGAUUAAUGUAUUUACUUCUCGACUCAAACAAAUAUUUCAAAUAGUUCUAAGUCUUACUUUAUGUGUAAAUUAAUAUAAAUAUAUUUAGUUUGCCAAAAAUGAGAUGUUUGAAUAUUGAUAAUAUUUACUUAAUCUUAUCGACCAUCAAAGAGGUUUAUCCAUCUUGAUUUCAUGAAAUUAUGAUUAACACUAUCAUAAUCAAAGAUGGCCCUUUACCUGUCUUAAAUAUGAUAUUUGUAUACAUUGAAAUUAACAAGAUCAUAAUCAAAGAUGCCUUAUUAAUUUUUAAAUAUGAUAUUUGUAUAUAGAAGAUUAACAUUAUUAUAAUCAAAGCUAACACAUCAAAUCUUAUAUUGUCCUCAUAGGAAUGGGUUUAAGAGCAUUAUGGGGCCAUAUCACAUUCAAACACUCGAACCGAAUACAUAAAGGAAUACGUAGGUUACUUCAUAGGAAUUCACAUAAAACUAUCAAAACAUUUCCUAUUCCUUGUUGGACUAAUUCCAAAGUCUACCAUCACACUUCCUGCUAUGGCCUCCACAAGCUCUGAAGCAUCAGUAGCUUUUGUGAACUGGCCAAGCUGAAGAUGCAGCUGCAGAAUAGGAUUGUGCAAGAUAAAAAUAGCUAGAACCGAUCCGGCAAAUUGAGGCAGACAUUACCAUGAUUUCCCUCACACAGAAGUAUAGAGUUAUUAGAAGUAGUUUCUAGCAUUGUAAAGUGAGUUUAUUUUGCUUAUGCUAAUAACAAUGCAGAGAAAGUGCUCACCAUUCAUCGGCUGGUGUCAUGAGUAUGCAAAUGUUUUGAAAAUGGUUGUUGAAGGUGGAAUGGUCGUGCCUGAAGGCAACAUAGUUAUGUCGGAGCAGCCUUUGAUCAACACACUUGAGUGUAUGGAAGCAAUUGAUGGUAUCCAGAGAGAUAUAGUUGCAAUGAAGAAACAAAUUUGGAUCCUUAAGUGUAUCAUUUUUUGUAUGGCGGUCUUGGUUUUGUUAGUGUUUGUUAAUUAAGUUAUGAUGUAAUAUUAAGCCGACCACUGGUUUCAUUUGAAUAAAUAAAUAUUUUGUGAAAACAUAUAUGUGAUUAUUGGUUGGAUAGGUUUAUUAGUUGUUAAAAUGGCAUAAAUGUUGAGGUAUUAUUUUUUUGUGAUAACUAAAUUUUCAUUGCACAACCCCAGUAUAUCUUCAGUAUAUUAAUAAAUGGAUAAGUAUACUAAAUGAUGUUAGUGUUUAAAUUAAGUAUGAAGUUUAAAUUUUAUCUUCAUCUUGUAAUAUGUAAUAAGACGGGUUGUUGUUUCUAAAGAAGAAGUAUAUUAAAUGGCAUGACUUCUUAAACCCGCCCUUUAAUUUCAAUAUUUAUUUUCAGCUUCUAAUUAUUCAUAUGAUUUAAGAAAAUAUGACACAGGAGGAAAAAGUAUAUUAACACCUGGGAUAAGUAUCUUGAAUUAAAGGGAUAAGUAUAUUAAUUUUUUUGCUAGGAUAAGUAACUUCAAUUAAAGGGAUAAGUAUAUUAACACUUGGGAUAAGUAACUUCUUAGACUCAAGCUUUUUUGCUGUAUCUUCAAUUUUUACUAAACACUAGGGGUAAGUAUACUAAACACAAGCGAUAAGUAUAUUAGCACUUGCUAUGACAUUUUUUUUAGCAAUUGAAUUUAAGACAAUGUCAUUAUUUAUUAUUUACACAAACUUCAUUAUCAACAAUCGAAAAUUCAAAAUAUCUCCAUUGAAUGAAUAAGUCAUGUGAACUUCUGUUGUCAAUGCUCAUGCACAGCAGUCUAUGACAAGCACAUAUCACUCAUGAUUGUGACAAUUCAUUCAGUGGUUUUUGCAUGUACGAGGAAUUGCCUAGCCUUGAAUUUUUUUGGCCAGUGACAUUUCAUCCGCUAACAUGCAUUUGUAUCACAUAUUGGUGUCUUUCCGUAUACCUCGAACACACCAAAUAGCAGGCAAAGACAAUCUGGCUUCUAUAACUGACAAGUAUUGCUUGGUACCUUAGAUGAUUGACAAAUUAGACUACUUCUACUAGGCUCCUCAUAUUAUGCACCUUAUGAAUUCUAGUGACUAACAAGAAUGAAUUUCUUCUCUAGUUAGUUGAGGCACAAAAUAUUCCCUUCAAAAACAACUGGAUCCAUUAGAGUUUGAUAGAAGUUAGUAUUCUGUUGUUCCCUUAUAACUGAUAGAAUUGGGAGUUGAACUCCUUUUUUAAUCAUUAUAACUAUGGAGUUUUACUCGUGUAAUUGAACUACUUUCUUAAUCAUUAACAUAGUAAGAAAAUAUUUCAUGAAUAUUAUGUUUACUUCAUCAUUGUAAAAUACUAGACUUUAAUAUAUAUUAGGACUUUAAUAUUUUGAUUUGUUGGGAUAAGAUUCUUUAAAAAAAAUAAAAGAUGAUUGUUUGGAUCCUACUACCUUAUAUGACGGAUAAACAAUUUACAUUUACUAAUUUUAAUGAUCUUAAACUUUAGCACAAUAUUAAAGGAUAAUUGUAUGAUACUUAAGACAUGUUUUACCAUCGGGAUUAUAUUCCAAUUACGUAAUAACCAUUCCAUUAACGAUUCAAAAGUACAAAUUCUUUCAAAAGUGAACUGAGGCUUCAAAAACAAAUAACACGCAUUACUACUUGAAGCAUGCACCUUAUAUGUAGCCCAUUUUAGGUGAGUGGUUAAAAAACAAACUAAUGAAGCCCAAUAUUCUAGAAUAAACUACCAUCCAUCAACACUCCAAACAAAAGGUCUCCAUUCAGAAUACUUGCAUUAGUUUUUCUGCUAUCGUCCAUUUCUAAUUGCGUGCAUAGUUAUCCAACGUGUGUGGUCAUGCCUCCUUUGUCCCAAUUGAAGUCUUCUGUGUCUUCACACCACUUUUGAUAACAAAAUGGUUAGUCUUGAGGAACUAAUUUUAAACAAUAAUUUGUUAAAGCCAGGUUCCUUGAAGGAUAUUGUCCUCACAUUUCCUUCCAAUGAAGUAGAACAAUUUGAUUCUGCGCCAUUGCCACUACGUCUACUCAGAUCACCCACAGUAUGUGAAGAGUGGCAAGAUCCAAACGAAUGAAUAUUACUGUAUAAGUAGUAAAAUCUCUAUGCCUUUCUCCAUGAUCUUAUGCCGAAGACCCAUGUUUUGCCUUAAUAAAGUCUCAUACCACUCUACUGGGACUUGCAAGGAUGUUAAGAAUAACGAAUUUGAGAAACUAAUAUCUUUUUUAUCCUAAACAAUAUGAAAAACUAAUUUUUGAAGAGAUUGUUAGGUUCUCAUGCCUUUCUUUUGUACCCAACAAGGACGGGCAGGCCAAAAACAUUUUCGAUGACAUUGUGAAUAGUCUCCUGCCUCAUUAUCAAAGAGGGUUUUCAUGAAGGGGACCUUUUUUUGGGCUGUCAUUUGCAUGGCCAACCAUUUAAGUAGUCAUGUUUUUUGUUAGUAUUCCUACAUAUUCCCGUUAGGGGGGCAUUAAAUUUUUUUGAAUAAAAUCUUCAUAAUUGACAGUAGAAGAUCACAUAUUAAAAAAUUGUGCACAAUCCACCCCUAUCAAAAGAGUGCCUAUGGUAUCUUCUUGGACAAGUGAAAUGCUAAGCAUAUCAUCCGAUGGUCCUUGCGGUUCAGCAACUUAUGUGUGUUCACCAAUUUGUCGGCAAACCGUCUCCCAAAUAGUACAUCAAUCCCAAUAGGCCCUUAUAAAGAAGUCAAGUUGGAUUCAAAAUUGAUUUGCACUCGCACUCCAUCGGUAAAAUCCAUUGUUUCCAUGGCCUCCAUGUAACCUGGCUUAUAAUAAAAGUUAAAGGCUAAAUAUCAAUAUUUGAAAAUCAUAUGAAAAAUUGUAACCUAUAAAUAAGUCAGAAAUUACUUCAUCUAGGCUGAUAAAAUAUAAAGCUCCUCUAUAUAGUUGAAACGAUGAUAUCCACUCUUGUUGCAAUUGUAACUUCUCCAUCUCGUCAUUCAGGAAUAUAUGCAUUUCUCAUCAACGAUAUUACCUCCAUGCACCUGCAGUAUUUCAUAAGCUCAUACCUAAAUGAAAAAGGCGAAAAACUUGUCUUUGCAAAUAGUUAUAUCCCGUCUUAUAUGAACAAUCAUAAGUAUGCUACCUUACACACAAAUCCCAUGCCACAUAUAGUUUGAGUUUACAUUCUUGAUAUAUCACACAUAUUUUAUAUAGUGUUGCUAGUGCUUCUGCUCCCCAAUUGUAUAGGCCAAUCUCAUCAACACUCUUCAUGCCAGUUAGCCAUACCACAGGGACAAAUCCAAUUUUAGUGUGAAAUAUAAUCUUGUCAAACACAAAUAAGAUGUACCCUCUCGCCAUUUGCUCUGCCACAACUUCGUUGUUAGGUGGGACUUCCAUGACAAUAUAAUACUUCUACAGAUUAUCAACAAUAAUAUGAUGAUCAGCAGCCAUCUGAGGUACAUGACCAAGCAUUUUGAUGAGAUAAGCUUUGUCAACAGAAAUUGUCACCUCCCAAUAGCUAACCCCAUGAUUGCUAUGAAGUCCAAAGGUGUCAUUGUCAUCUCAUCCAUGGCAAAGUAAAUUGUAUUAGAAGAAUCCUAUCACCUCUCUACAAGUGUGUAAAAGAGUUUUCGGUCUAUUUCAAUGAUCGAAAUUGUAUCAAUAAAUGUUUUCAGUUCCAUUGCCUCUAAUAGUGAUGCUACAGCAGUUGGCGAUCGCUGCCAUCAAGCCACCAGGUCCAAAAGUGUUGGCUGGAUGCAUCAUAUUCACACUACAAAAAAAACAGGAAAAUGAGUACAAACACAUAAGCCUGGACACAAAAUUUUAGAGCAAGAAGCAACGGAAGUAAAAUUGCAUCCAAAAAAUAAAUAGGUCAUAAGCUGUUUGUGACAUCUCCUGGACAAGUGGAUCUCCAGAGACUUCAGCAGUGGUUUAUUAGAUUAUAAGAAAUCUCCUUCCUCAGCUUCGGUUUGGUAGCUAUCUAUAGUAUUGGCAGACUUAUACUCGCUGGAAGCCAAAAUAGGCAUUAGAUUUCUCAUUUAUUUUGGUUGCAUAAGCCGUGAAUUGUACUGAAUAUAAGUCUCUAAAGGUGAAUUUUAUGCUAACACUACUUAGUGGCAACCACUAUACACUUUAGGUCCUUAUAUAUUGCACCCCCGAGUGAUUUUUUGGUACAAUAUAAAUUUUGGUAAUGAUUAGAUUUUUAUAUUUUUUUCGAGAAAAAUUACUAAACUUUACUUCUGUUAACUACCAUACUUCAAAUUAAAGCAGUAAUUACAAAGUAGCCGUAAUGUAUUAUAUUUUUGUUAAAUUUUUUUCACUUCUUUUUUGAUUACAUAUAUUAAUAUUAAAUUUACAAAGAACAUAUAAAUUUAAUGAAAAGGUUAUAAUAUACAGGAUUGCAAAACGAGUUGAAUCAACUCAAUUUUCUUGACUUCUAGCAUGAUCUCGAGCUCCACGAGCUUUGAUUGUAAAACUCGAGUUCAACAUCGAUCUCGAAUUCGAGCCUAGUUUAGCUCGAGAAAAUAUAUUUUAGAAAAUAACAUCAAAUUCAGCUUGAUAGUCAUUUCUAGUCAUGGUCAAAUUAGUUCACAAAUUAGAUUAUGUUAUAUGAAAAUAGCAAAGUUAAUGCACUUAUUAGAAUAAAAUGUCACUAUAGUAAUAGAAGUAAAUAACUCUAAGUUAUCAUAUGAUCCCAUGGACCAAAUGAGCUCUUCAUGAAAUGAGAGGUGGUUACUUAGCUUCGGAUGAGUAAUCUUGUUGUCCAAUGCUUAGUUGAUUUUACGUUAGAUGUUUAAUUUAAUAAAAAAAAAUAUCAACUUGUGUUUCGUCAAUAAUAAGAUGAAAUAGAAUUACUUAUAGAUCAAAAUUGCUUUUUGACAGAUCUACUAUUAAUUCUAUCAGUAAUAGGGGCAAAUUAGUCCAAAAAAGUAAAUUUUAAUUGUCAUGGCCAAAUUAUCCCAACACAUAAAUUUUGUAUUCGUAGGAGCGGGUUUUGAAUCAAAUGUUAUUUAUUUCUUUAAUAUGGGUAAAUGCGUAAAAAGUUUAAUUUUGUUAAUUGUAUGACUAUAUCUAUCGAAAAUCAUGGUGUAUGAUUAACUUAGAUAGAUUAGUCCAAAACUCAAUUUUUUAUUAGUUAUGGCAAAUAAAAUCAAAAUUCUAUUAUUUUAUUAAUAUGUAGUUAACAUAAUUUAUGUAGUUGUUUGAAUAAAUUAUUAUAUAGAAGGUGUUGAAUUAAUAUUUGUAGAUUGUAAUAAAAGUAAUAUCAAGUGGCACAAAUUGAUGAAAUGGACAGAAUCGAAACGUGUAAAAUUCACUAGGGGAAAAAAUUUGUGCAAAUUCAUGGGCUUGUUUUCUACUUCAAACUAGGAAUAAAUUUCACAAUUGCUGCACUUUCACUUCUUCUUGAGAUGCCAAUGUGUGGUGGGAUCCCAAAUUUUGAAACCCUAGUUAAUCUCCUAUAGGCUUGUGUGUGGUGUUUAUUCCUUUUCAAUGCUAGUACCAUCAUCCCUAUAGUCAAAGUCCAUGCAUUAGACAAAAUUAAACAAGUAACAAACACUAUAUCCCAUCGUUUUGCUUGGAUUGAUGUUUCAAAACUCUGUCAUUACGGUGAACUAACCUCCAGUUCUUAUGCAUGAGAAGGCUCCAUCAAAAUACUGUUAGGCAUAUCAUCCAUUACACUAGAUUUUUCAGUUCUAUAUCCGCUCUGCAAAAGAUAUCAAUAUAACUCUGCAUCUUAUCACAAUGGAAAUCAUCAUUGUAAAACUUGAAAGUGCCUAUGUAUGAAUAAGUAGCAAUUUGUUAUAACCAAACCUAAUGCAUGUUCAUUUAUAAUCUUCAGGCUCCUAACAUGUGUAUUCUUAACUUGAGAUGCUAAGAAGCCAUCACAUAAUUUGGAAAGUUAUUAAUCUAAUCCUGGACAAUAUUUCAUUUGGCAUGUGUUCGAGGGUAUAUUGCUUGUAAGUUUAGAUUUAUCCAAUCACCCUUAGCCCUCAUAACCAGUAGAUUUUUGAUCCCAAGUAGCCUUCGUUGCCCAUCUACUUCUACACUAGUUGUAUCACCAAUAUUGUGGUCCUUGGACAAUACUAAUUUUUUCAUAUGCGCAAUUUUUCUAUGAACAAAUUCUCUAAUCUGGGCAACCGAUCCGUCAUCCACUUGUGAUGCAUAGUAACACAUCACAUUGCACUCAAAAACUAGAUUCCCAUAUGUUGCCAUUUGAGUAAAACUAUCAAUAAUAGUUUCCCCUAAACUUUCUUUCUCAAAUUCUGCAUUAGAUCAUUUAUCCCAUCAUUUCAACAAGUGACAAUUUGGUAUCCGACUUAUGUGAUUACAUACCAUGAUUCGAAAUAUGUGAGCACAUGGGAUGCCAAUAUCAUCAAAUGACAUGCAGGAGCACUUCAUUUCUAGUGUGUCUCUAUUUACCUCCACUCACUAAGUAGAACCUAGUGAUCCAUAUUUAUUCAAGAGGUAAACCGUGUGGUUGCCAAAUGAACCAAUCCUGUUAGGAUUAUAUACCUACACUUGAUGAUUUCAUCACGAACUUGGAAAAAAAAUAGUACAGGUGUAGAACUCCGUUUCAUGUUUUUUCAAAUUUGGAAAGGCAGUGAUCAUUACAAUAGUGCUAUUUUCGGUGUUACUGUGUUCUUUGCAAUCUUGAUGUCUCAGCCAUGCAAUUUCCAUUUCACGUCCAUUGAUGAAUUCAAACAGUUUCAUGCCAUCAUCCAAAUACAUUUUCAUUAUAUCAUUCAUUUUUUCAUUUCUUUCGGUACUUCUUAUUCUUGUAAAGAAUUUUUCUCUUAAGUAUGCAUGUGCCUACAACAUUCUCCAACAAUAAGGUAUCUUCACCCAUUCAUUGUUAUGCAGUGCAUAGUUCUCGACUAAUUUCCUUCAUUCCAACUCAAACCGCUCCUCAGUGUACUUCAAAUACAUAUAUCUAUGAAGACCCUCAAAAAUUUGUGGCAGUUUUUCACACCAAUUUUGGCAUUUUGUUGAAAAGCUAAGAACAUAAUCGGUGGUGUGCUUCUAAAAGAAUAGUUUUGAUUGCUGUCCUAAUCGAUUUGUGACCAUCUGUUAGAACUGAUACAAGUUUCUUCUCGAACAUUGCCGAUAUGAAAUCUGAUUUAUUCAAAUAUAGUUUUCAGUAGUUUCCUUAGACAUUAGUGCACAAGCAAAGACACAGGUUUGAAAAUAAUUAUUAAUACAUCUCCAAAAUGACGGUAUUCAACUAGAGACCAUGGUUCAAAGAUUCGGCCGAGACCGAGACGAUUUGACAAAGUUGUCAUCGAAAUGGAGCUAUCCGUUCUGAUAUCAGGACGAAAUGAUUCCAAAAUAAUGAAUCACCGAGAACUAGGCCAAGACGUCUCGGAGACAAAUAGAAUCGAUCGAAUCACCCCAAAUCAUCCCGAGUCAACUCAAAAUUUUAUUAUUUUUGCUUAUCAUUUUUUUACAAUUUUUAAAAUAUUAAAUGUCUUAAAAAUUUGCGUCUCGCCGAAACCACGAUCGGUAUGCUGAAAUCGAUGUGGAAUGAUCCUAACCACGACUGCGAUCGCGACUUUGAACCAUGCUUGAGACCGUGAAUCCAUCUAAAAAAGAGUGUGCAGUCUACUUUCAUCAUCCAACUGGUACAAAUAAUAGAACAUUGGAUCAUUAGCUUGCUUUCCAGCCAAAAAUGCAACUGCACGUUCUGCAUCACCAUCAGCAAUUUCUUUCUUCCUCUCAGCAUCUAUCUUGUUGUAUAGAUCUUUCAACAUGAAUUUCAAAUUACUAUAUCCACCUGCUUAUAACACAAAAAAUUUCAUGAUCUGACUAGUUUCAACACCCACCCUUCGCAGGCUUUUGGCUAGAGCAUAAUCUUAACGACGAACCGAUCAUGUCAUCGGUCCAGUCUAGCACAAAAGCUAGACUUAACUAAAAAAACCCCUAAAAAUCAAAAAAAUUGUAUGAACCGUUAAAAAUCGAUAAAACUACAGACCGCUAGUCUUUUAAAUCUUUUAACUUUCUAGUCCACUUAAAGUCAUAAGAGAAAAUAUUAAAAAAAAUAAAACUCUGUCUCAAACACACAAACAUUACUAAAGCCCAAAAUUGUUGCCGGUAUUCACCCCUGUUUCUUCUCCUCACUUAGCAACUAGCAUUGUCUCUAGACUCUCUACUGAUAAUCUUUUUUUCUUCCUAACAAGCUAACAACUGCUAACCUUUCAACAUCUUGAAGCAAAUAUUUGAAGUGAAAUUGAUCGUUAUCUUUGGAGAGAAAAAUGUAAGAUUAGCUCCUCUUGUUUCUUUUCUCUUUUUUUUUUUAAAUUUUCAAUUCCCAAUUUCAUUUAAUUGAUUAGCUCCUCUUGUUCCUUUUUCCCUUUUUUAUUUUCAAUUCCGAAUUUAAUUAAGUUCUUUAAAUUAUUUAGUUAAGGUUUAUUUAAAAUUAAAGUAUGUGAUUAAUCAGACAUAGCAGAAUAUGAGAAUUGAUAUUGUUAUUAAAAAAUUCCAAAAAUAAAGAUUGAAUGUUGUUUGGGUCUUACACAUUGAUAAUGUUGUUUCGGUCCCUUAUGAUUGAUAAUGUUUUUCGCUGGACUAUGUGGUUUCACUAAUCGUCAAUUGUCUUAAGUCAAUUUUUGACUUGACCUUAAAUGGAUGCUAAUGCAUCACUUUUGUAAAAUUGGCCACUAAAAGAACCCUUAAGCUUUUGGUCAUUCAAGACUAUUCAUAAAACAUUCUGCAUAGUUACAUGAAAUGUAAAAGUUGGAGCUUAGGCACUAUAAUUUGUAUGCAUUAAAAAGAAUUGUUUGCUUUAUAUUCAUUCAUUAUCUGUUCAUGGUUAUUGCCUAUUAUCAAAACAAACAAGAGCCGACUAUUCUAUUUCUACAAUUAUACAGGAACAACUAUAGUAUUUGACUAUCUAAAUUGUGAUACUAGGAAUCAAGGUGUUUAGAAUAUUUACUUUUAAUACAUCAAGUGUUGGUGAAUUUUUUUAAAAAUUUUCUUAUUGGUACACCAUAUUGCAAUAAUGAACUAAUUAUGUCUAAAUUAAUUAUGUUAAGGAUAAUGGAUACUGCUAUUGGUAGUAAUUCACAAUCUUCGACUGCGGGAGCCGUCAAUAAUGAAGCAUCGGCAAGUCAAAAUCAUAGGCAAAAGUCGGAUAUAAGAUGGAAUCACUGUUCGGAGGGUGUGAAUAAGCAAGGAAGAAAAACACUAACUAUGGAUAUUGUUUCAAAAUAAUUGCUAGUGGUGGUAUUCAUCAUAUGAAGCAGCAUUUGGCAGGAGAAUAAGGCGGUAUUGUUUCGUGUCCAAAGGUUGAUUCGGCUGUGAGACAUGCAAUUUUAGCAUCGACGAAGAGAAAGAAAAGAAUUCUAAAAAAAAAAAGGGAGACUUUAGAAUAGGAAAUCCAUUUAGCCUAAAUAUGCAUACAUUUACCGGUGACAAAUUUGAAGAAAUCCCUUGUCCUCCGACCAAUAAGAUAGGUGCAUCUAAUAAAUGAAAGAGAAAAAUAAUGGCCCUAAUAGAUAUACAUACUUUCUUUAAAGAUAGGCGUGAUACUUUUCAACCCACCAUCAAGACUUGUUUGCAAAGUAAAGAAAAAUGGAAAAAUACAAACAUAACUAUUGCUCUUUGGUUUUGUGAUGCUUACAUUCCCAUAAAUGAUGUUAACUCUCCAUUUUUUCAAAAAACUAUUGAUCAAAUAGUUUCAAUGAGUUAUGGAUAUAAAGGUCCAUCAUAUCAUUCUUUGAAAGUUCAUUUGUUACAAAAUGCUAAAACAGAUGUAAAAUUGAUUGUUGAUUCAUUUCAGAGUACUUGGGCAGAAACUCAUUGCAAUAUAAUGGGUGAUGAAUGGAAAGAUACAAGGUUUACUGUCCUAAGGGCAUUUCUUUUAUUAAAUCUGUUGAUGCAUCUGAUAUUGUAACAAGUGGAGAAAAUUUGUGUAAUGUAUUUGUUGAAAUUGUUGAGAUGGUUGGUCCAAGAAAUGUGGUGCAUUUAGUUACUGAUAGUGCUAGUAACUAUAAGGCUACUAGAGAUUUGCUGAAUGAAAGAUGUCCAAAUAUUUGUUGGUCACCAUAUGCUGCACACCGUAUUAAUUAAAUUUAAAAAAAUAUUAGUGAAAUGAGUGAUGUAAGAGCUCUAGUGUCUCUUGCUUCAACAGUGAUUAUUUUUAGCUAUUUUCACAAGUUCACUUUGAAUUGGUUGAGAAAGACUAUAGGAUGGAAAGAAAUUAUCUGUCUAGGUGAAACUUGAUUUGCAACUACCUUUAUUGCAUUAAAAAGUUUGCAUUAUCAUAAGGAUAGUUUGCAAUCUUUGGUUACCAGUAAAGAUUAUAGAAAAUUUUUGAGAAUUAUAAAGGAGAAAGAGGUGAAGCAAAUUGUUUUGGAUGAAAGGUUUUGGAAUAAUUGUUUGAUUAUGGUGAGAAUAAUGGGUUCACUUAUCUGUUUAUUGCAUAUUUGUGACAUUGAUGAAAGACCUUUAUUGGAUUAUGUCUAUGAAGGCAUGUUUAGAGCAAUAAAUGGCAUCAAAAAACUGUUUAAAAAAUAAAGAGUUGUUGUACAAGCCUUAUAUUGAUAUCAUCAAUGAUAGGUGGGAUAAGAUGUUGAGAAAAAAUUUACAUGCUGCAACUUAUUAUUUGAAUCCUGCAUUUCAGUAUGAUAGUGCUGCUUUUCUACACACAGAUAUUAUAAAUGGGCUGCUAGAUUAUAUUGAAAUAGAAGUGGAUUGGUAUAACCCUAAAAAAUUAUCACAAGAGGUUAGAAUGUACCGAGAGCGGCAAGGGAGUUUUGGCCGAAAGCUUGCUAUUCUUACUAGCAAGUCGGAUCAACCAGAUAAUUUAUAUUAUGUCUAAUAUUUAUAAUUUAUGAAUUUAUUCUUAUUUUGUCUAAUAUUUUAAUGUGAUAAUGAUAGAGAAUUGGUGGAAGUUAUAUGAUUGUGAUGCUCCAAAUUUUAAAAUCUUGUAAUUAGAAUUUAAGUCAGACAACUUCUUCUUCUAGAUGUAAGUGCAAUUGGAGCAUUUUUUAGCGCAUUCACACUAAAAAGGAAUGAAUAGAUUGGAGCAUCAAAAGCUCAAUGAUCUUGUCUAUGUGCACUACAAUUUACGCUUGCAAUAUAGGUAUAAUUAGAUUCUCUUUGCAUUUGAUUUUUCUAAUGUACUACUAGAUUUAUAACUAAUGUAUUGUUUCAUAGGAAUGAUCAGCGAAAGAGAUCUUAUAAUCUUAUUGAUUAUGAAUCUAUUGAUAAAACGGAAUUUUGGAUCAUAGAAGAACAAAAAAAUGAUGAGCUUGAUUAUAAUUACUUAGAGGAAGAACUUGAAGAAUUUGUUAAUGUUGGUUUCCAAUCCCAACAAGUUGAAGGUUGGUUGUAAAUUAAAAUAAAUAUUUUUUUUACUCGUAACAUGUGGUGCUAAAAGUGUUUAUUUGAGUUUUAUUUUUUCUAGUAUUGAUUAAUUCAUAAUUAUUGUAUGAUUUAUUUAAUUAGACAAAAAAAUGAAGUUAGGGAAGAUAUUGAUUUGGAAGCAUUUCAAUGCAAGUGCCUUUUGGAUGGCGAUAGAGAUAAUGAUUGGUAAUAAAAAUGUUUUAAUUUUAAUUGGUGAUGGUUAGUAGUAAUUAAAUUUUUAGAUAUUUAGUUUUAUUUUGUUCUCUUUUGAGUUUUUUUGUGUUAUUUUUUAGUUAGUUAAUUUUUUUAUUUGGAGUUUAAUAAAAUUGGGCUUAUAUAUUUGUAUUGAAUUUUUUACUAUUUUAGGUUAAAUUGAAGAAGUUGUCAAGGCAUUGAUAUUCACAUAUAUGGUGCUACCUUAUGAUGACAAUGAAGGAAACUUGUUAUUGAAAGUUUGAAACUAUUGGCUAUUAGAUUGUCGCUGCACUUCAAUUAUUAGAUUUGUUGGGAUUCUUUUUGUGAACUUUCUUAAGAUUGUGACAUGUAUUUUAAUUAGUAUUUGGAUUAUGCUAGUUAGUGUUAUUUAUGUUUGGCAUAAGUACUAAUGAAUAUCUAAUCCUGAAAAAUGAUGUCUUCAAUGUUAGAAAAUAUUAUCAUGUGUUCCCUAUUAGUUGAGAGAGAGAGAGAGAGAGAGAAUCGUUGAACCGGCCGGUUGAAUCAAUUGAACCGUAAACCAUUCCCCUGAUCGAUCCGAGUUUUAAAACAUUGGUGAUGGAUCCUUUCUUGUUGAAGAACUUGUAGUUUAGGUUUAAAGUAAUGCCAUUUAUUAUUCCCAACAACAUUUUCAAUUCAUUAAAUUUUUUAUAACUUAUUUCCAAAUGCUUUAGUUGCAGUUGGUAAAAGCAUUGAAUGCAACUUGGACAAAAAACCUUGGAACGAAUCCUCAGACAAUCAAGUUAUGGUACAACUAAAUUGAAAACCUUGGAACUAAAUUUAGUUCCGAAUCUUGGAACUAAAUUUUGUCUGAUACAAUUUCAUUGGGAAAAGUUACACCAAAGCAAAGCAAAAAUAUAUCCCUAAUGGACUUCGUUUAGAGGAAAUGGAAGAAUUGAAAAUUUGAAAACGAAGUUAAAAAUUUGAAUUGGCCUCACAAAACAAAAUGGAGAGAAGAAAGCGGGCUUGGUAUGUGAAUGUUUCGACUAAUAUCAGAAGAAGAGUUGGGGUAUGCCAUCAGAAGAAGAAGGAAGAAGACAAACAGUGCAAUAAGAGUGCAAUAAAAGAAGGCCAAAGUUGGUAGAAAAUUUUAUGAGCAAUGCGUGCAAGGCAAGCGGCAAGGUAGAAGCGAAUUAAAGAGGGAAUUCAUUAUCUCACAUUGCCCACCAUUUUUCGUGCAUCUUAAUAGCAGAAGCAACUGCGCUAUCCAAAUUCAGUGAAACAUAAAGCACUCAGCGGGCUAUGUGACAACCCCACCUCCCCCUAAGGUGAACCAAAGGGUUCGGCGGACCGCCUGCCCAACUCUCGCCGGGACUCAGUCGUUCACUACAGUUCUCAAUUGAAUUACAAUAUAAAUCUCAAGUAUACAUCCAAUGUUCCACAAGUUCACAUACUACCAACUAAAACCUCAAGAUAUACAAGCAAUACUAAUUUUUCGAAUAAAACAAAGGUCCUCAAUUCUCACAAAUUUCUCCAUGAAUAUACAAAUAUCCGUUCAAGUCCAAUCAUUCAAACAAUACUAAUUAUUACACAAGAGGAGUCCGGAUUCAAACUAUACAUGAGAUAAUCCAUCCAGUCACAUGAAUAAGUACUACAAGCCCUUCCUUCGCCUCGAACCCUGUGGAGAGGAAUAAAAUAGUUUUGGGUGAGCUAGAAACCCAGCGAGUAACCAGUAAAAUCAGUAAUCAAAUCAGUUUCACAAUCGUUCAUUUCCAUGAUGUCAUGAAUCAGUAAUCAAAUGUACGUUUAUUGCUCUCGUGAGUCAGUAAAAUCAUUGUACUUAGCAUCCAACGCUCAAAAUGAUCAGUUAACAGUGAGACAGUGAUAGGGAGCCCGUUGGUGCUCCAGAUGAACAGUAAACAGUGGUGAAAACGUUGGUUCUAAGCACAAGACUUCCCAAGAACUCAUUGAAACCAAAUCAUAUCAUGAACUCGCAUGCAAGUACACAUGAUAUGCAAUCGAAUAAAUAAUACAAGAAACAGUUCAUAAGUAGUUUUACAAAUAGUUUGGGGUCACUCACCAACCACGGCUCAUAAUCCUCUUCCAUUAUAGACAAUUUCAUAGAUCGAACUCAAACCCUUCAAAUCAAAUUCAAAGAAACCAAACACUCUCAAAGAUCGGACAAUAUUUUCCCUUAAAUUCUUUAUUUCCCAACCUACAACCAAAUAUCAAUUCUCAUAACAAUUAACCACAAUCGCACAUAUGGUUCAUAAGCAAUACAAUACAUCCAAUUAGGACCACAAUCCCCCUUCAAUCAACACCAAUUAGGAGCUUAACAACCAUUCCAUAAGAAAGCCCCAAAUUAAAGCCCAAACUCAGAAUUUCCGCACAAAUCAGAAAUUUUUCGUAAACAAUCGUAUCCAACGUACACAAGCUCCAUUUUAUACCACAACAAGCUAUCAUUCCAAGACCAAUGAACCAUAAUCAUAUAAAAUCAGAAAAAUCCCCAAUAAAUCAGAAAUUGGUCCAUCUCUACUUAAAUUCAUAAAAUCAUCCACAAUAUAACAUAUUUAACUACUACAAACCACUAAUAUAUCAUUAUUAAAACAAAAAACGGAACUUUCUUAGUAACUCACCUUAUAAACUCAAGAAAGAUAGCACCUUAAAACUUCUCCUUUCAAAACAACUCCAUCAACUUCUUCAAACUUUCAUAGUGAGCCCUUGUAUGGAGUAGUUUCCAAAAUUAUCGGUGAAAUCUCAAGAUUUUGACAAAAAUUGAAACUAGGAAAAUUGAGACCUUUUCUCUCUAUGAUGCACGGCUGAACAAGGGGAAGAAAUGAAGAUAUUUUGGACUAAAAACAAUAUAAGAAAGAAGAAAAUCAACUGGUCAAAAUUGAUGGCCGACAUGCCACGUCACAAUCCAACCGGAUUUAAAGCAGUGGCAAAAAUCAUUUUUUUUCAAAACUCCAAGGCAAUCCGGCCAGGUAUUCGGCCGGAUUCGCCAAAACAAAACUAAUCAGAAUUUUUUUUUCUUUUUCUUCUUCUGGGUGUCACAGGCCAAGGUAAUGUAAUUGAAUUAUGUCAGCAACUUUGUGAAUCUUAUACGAACAACUUUCUAAAUAUUAGAUUCAAUAAAGACAUAAAAUGAAAAUGAUAAAAGAAUAAUGAAAUUGUAUCGUAUGUCUGUGUGAGCGUAGAACUUUUCAGUGAUGGACUAUAAUAGGAAAGUAGUUAUCCAAAGACGUAGGGGUAUUACAUCGAGUAAAGCGUCAAGCGGAAUGAGGGAAAGAGGAGAGAAACAAAGUCAUAUUUAACAAGUGAAUGAAUGUACAUCUUGUUGUAACUAAAUUAUAGGUUAUAGGCACACUAUUACAAUUAAUAUGAAUCAUUGUGCAUCCAGUAGUUGAUCGAUGCUCAUCACGCAAUCUUAGUUUGUCCUUUUGCUGACUAUGCAGUGUGUAUAAAAUGGAGGUGUAGAGUUAAAUAAGGUAAAGCAGAGGAAAAGACAUAUAUGUGAAUAAUAAAUGGGUAUACCUGGUAUUGUAAGUAAAUUACAUGAUGUAAAAAAAUAUUACAAUGAGUAGAAAAUGCUUGUUUGGCUCUCAAAAUGUAGAAAAUAGUAUAAAAUACGGAGUUGGUUUAGGCGGGUAUCAGUAACGAAUGACAAAACGUCCAGUGAAAUAAAGUAUCUAGAACCUAAAUAUAAUCGGCAGAGUGGAUGUACAUACAGUUAAAAUAUACUUACAUCGUGUGACCAACACAUUAUAGUCCGUAUAACUUAGUGUAUAUGGAGUUGUAUUUGUACAUAGAUAAUGCUAUUGUUUUAGAGUAAAAUAAAGUGAUGUGUAUCAUUAAUUAUAUUGAUAAGCGUAAUAAUAGGAUUUGGUAUACAAGUAAUGUGUGUAACAUAAUAUAUUGUGAAUGGUAAUAUACAUUUAUGUUGUCGUUUAUGCACAUACUAUUCAUGAACUGUUGCAAAUUAAGGUGUUUGAUGCAAAAUUGGUAGAAGUAGAAGUAAUGGAUUGCAGCAAAUUGGUAAAAAAUGGGACCCCUGAAUUAGGAACGGAGUUCAGCAGUGAAGAGGAUGCUUACAAGUUUUACAACAAAGAUGCCUUUCAAAUGGGUUUUAGCAUACGGAAAGACUAUCUAAAUAAAAACAAAGACGAUGUGACCACGUCGAGGAGAUAUAGUUGAUACAAGAAAGGUGUGAAAUGCAAGUACGAAGGUGAUGUGAUACCAAAGCGAAUACAAGUGUCGCCGAAAAUAAGGUGUGGAGCUAAAAUGGUUAUCGUGUUGCGUAGAGGGACAAUAAAGUACCGUGUGCAUGACCUUGUCUUAGAAUAUAACCAUGAGUUGCACAUUGUUCAAUGUUCGCAUAUGAUACCAUCACAAAGAAAUGUGAGUGAAACUCAAGGAUUCCAAACUGAAAUAAACGAGAAUGCUGGACUUUCAUUGAAAUAGAGCCAUGAGCUUAUGGAAAAGGAGGCAGGUGGGAUGGAUAAUGUGGAAUAUACUCAGGGUGACCUUAAACGAUAUCUUUGUACGAGACGGGAAAGGAGUUUGACAUAUGGAGAAGCAGGUAGCAUGCUGAAUUAUUUUCAAAGUUGGGUCGAUAAAUUUGAUAGAUUAAAAAGAAAAUUUCGAUUGUCAAGGACUACACAGACUAUGGAAUGGGUCCAAUUUUAUGAUGGUAAAUAUUUAUGCUAAAAUAAUGUUAUCGUUGUACUUUUAACUAAAGUUUAGAUACUAUUCACUAUGAAAUAACGUUAUUGUCGUGUUAGUAAUACAGGUCUUAGAAUCGGAGCCGGCAUCGAUUUCAUUUGAUGAACACGUGUUUAUGGGAUGUUGCUCAUCUAUUGACUCGAUUUCGAUUAGUAUAAAAUGGCCAUGGUUUUAGCUCUUAUUUGGAUGUUUCUAACAGAAUGAUUAGUUACAUUGAUGUUAUAUUAUGUGAUAAAUUUGUUACGCUUGACUUCCCAUUCUCAUAUACUUAUUUUGUCUUCUUAUACAAUUGUUUGGCCUUUCAAAACUCUUAAAUGUAUUCAAUGAGUUAGUCAGUGAAUGGCCUUCCAAACACUGUUGCUCCCGAAAUCGAAUAAAGUAAAAUGGUAUGCAUACGUUUAGUAGGAAAAAUAAAGACUCUGUUGUCACGCCCCACUUUUUGAAAGUGUGAAAGUAGUGUGUAGGAUAUGUAGGUGAACGUGUGUGAAAGUAAAAAUAAAUGGCCGUGAGAUUGUGAAAUGCGACGGUUUGGCCAAACAAAGGGUUUUAGAUAGAAAAGAAGUCGCCACUUGGUAUAGAGUUAGGGUGUACCAAGUCACCCAAAAGUGAUUUUUUGGAAAAAAAAAGUAAACAAACCCUUUUUAAAGAAUUUUUAGGUCUACGUAACCAAAAAAAGGGAUCGGGGGUCACAUUUGAUAAGGGAGAAGGCAAAGGCAAAGCCUAAGACACUCUCUUACCCUAGCCAAAGCUAGUUGCGUGACUUAACUCUUCUUUUCCUAAUUCUUCUACCCCAAGUAUGUGUUGCAUGUUGGAUAUGACUAAUGGAUGCAAAAAAAGAAAAAUGCAAUUCUAAAUCUAAAAUGUCUCUUAUGAGACUUUUUGGUCUCAACCACAUGAGUUGUGAUGGCCAAUAAGGAAAACUCUCAUAGAGGUCACGGGUAAUGCAAAUGAAGACCCAAAUAUGAGUGCAAGUGUGAAAAUGUAAGAAGAAUGCAAAAUAAAAAUACAAAUACAAAUGUAAGUGCAAGUGUGCCAAUGUAAGAAAAGUGUAAGUGUGCCAAUUGAGAAAAAUGAAGGUGUAUGUGUGCAAGUGGAUGAAAAUAUGGUAUAAUAGUAGUAAAUAUAGUAGUGUGCCAAUUGGGUGCAAUUUGUGAGGUAGAAAAAUAAGUAAGUGAUAGGAAAAAAGAAAAUUGUGCAAACAUGGCAUGUGGAUUGAGAAAAAUAUAAGUAGUGAGAGAAUAUGGAUAAAGAAAGUGAGAAAGUGAUAUGAUAAAAAUAAAAGUGUAUGAACCUAGAGAAAUGCAUCAAGUCGGGUACGGGAAUGACUCCUAACUUCAUGACUUUAAUUUUCCCUUUGAUUAGAAGGAAGGACUAGCAUGCUAAGGUUGUUUUGUAGCCACACUCGCUCGUUUCCCUUACCGAAAGGGGACUCUCAAACAAAUGUACCCUACAACUAGCAUGAAGAUGCAAAAACCUAAAAUGAAGGGGAAAGGGUUGGAGGGGCAUGCCAAAUGAUAGAAAACUAAGAAAAAUGCAUGAAAUGUAGUGAAACAUGCAAGUAUGUAUUAACAAGAGGAGACGGCCUAUUAGGUCUAGCAUUGGACUAACCCUUAUCUAUGAAUUCCUACUAGCGUUGGACUAGUGGAAAACGGGACAAUGAGCCACAACUAGCGUUGGACUAGUGUGGUGACGUGCAUCACAUUCAUCUAUGACUAUGGAAAGCAAGUAGACAUGUCAAUCACCUAUAAACACGUAGCACAUAACACUUAACAUGCUCGACUAAAUGCAAGAGUCUAAUAAAGCAAAUUAACACGUAACAACAAAAGCAAGCAAUCAAACUAAUGAACCUAUUACAUUUGUUAACUAAAACAAAAGGGGAAGGGGAAAAAUGGACAAAAUUGCUCUCCAAACCCUAUCUAUUACAAGUCAAGAGGUGUACACAUACCCCAUAAAAGAAUAACUUAAUAAAAGCAAAAGUAAAUGAAAUAAGUGAGAGGAAUUAAAGAAAGGCAAGGAAAGCAAAGUAAACAUGCAAUUCUCACUUAGCACGUUCGAUCACAUAGGAGAGAGACAAAAAAAGGGAUAAAAGAAAUUAUACCUCCCCGUUUAUGAUGUUAAUAAAGUAAACACGACUUAACUUGGGCUAAAAUCACCAAAGAAAGGGAUAACUUGGGCUAAAAACCAUCAAAACAAAGAAUUAAUGCACCAAUUUAGUGGUAAAAUGUAAAUAAGCCAAUUUGAAUCCACAAAAUCAUCGAAUCCUUCUUCAAUUGCAACUUAAAAAUGAUCAAAUAAUGUAUAAUUUCCAAGCAAAAGUGAAUCAUUGAUCAAAUUUCUAAAAUAGCAAAAUGACUAAAGACCUAAUAGCAACCAUUAAUCAAUCAAUCAAGGCCAAAUGAAACAUUUUAGGAACUUUAAAGGUCCAAGAGCAAGAAAAGGUCAAGUAAUGGCUCAAAUUGCAAUUAUUCUAAGACCUAUUUGCAAGAAAUUAGAACCUAAUUGGGUCUUUGUAGCAUUGCUGCAAAAUGACAGGGACCAAAUUGAUUAGUUUUUCCCAAUUUUCUGGGUCAUAGUGACAUAAGGGAAAACUUGAGGGGGUUAAAAGGCAAUUUUGAAAAGUAUUUGCAUGCAUGCAUACGUAGAAAAGAAUUUCUGCAAUUAAUACUUUCUGAAACUAAAAGACCGCCGGUUGCAUUUCCAUUUCAUAUGCAAAUUCUAAGCAGCUUUGACUAAAAACCCUUUCAUCUAUCCAAACUUUGUAUUAAGCAGCAAAACAAACAAAUUCCACAUCCCAACAAGCAAAACAUGGAAGGAAAUUAUGCAAAUACUUAUGAAACCUUUAUGCAAGAUGGAAGAAAAUUGCUGCAAUUGAAAGCUUUGGCAACUGAUGAAGCCUUUUGGUAACAAAACCAAUUGCGACUUUCAUUUCCAAAUGCAAAUUUCAGACCCAACAACAAGAAUAACAAGAAUGCAGCAAAGAAACUUAGCAGCAACAUAUGUUCAUGCCAUUUCCUUAUUCAAAUUAAAUGCAUUCAUGCAAGCAAACCAAAAAGAAAUGAUUGAUUUCUUAACUAAACAGAAAGUACUAGAUCUUGGAGCCAAAAAGAGAUAGAACCAGACUACAACAUGCAUCCAAAUAAGACUUUCGGCAAGCUGAUGUUGAUUUUCCAGCAAGCAUCGAACACGAUUCAAGUGUUUUUGAGACUCCAAUAUGCAAACUCAACACCACUCAUCCACUUCCCCUUUUCACACAAGAUUAACUAGCAAAUUAGGAUGGCCAAAGCUUGGUGAGUGGUCGCAGAGAACAAAACAGCAAAGAAGAUGCAACAGCCUUUGCUCUGCUGCAAAUUUUGCAGCUUCAUACUCGCAUGGAUGAAAAGCCGAAAAACAUUGUACAAAAACUCAUCCUUCAUCAAACUAACACACACACAAACUUCAAACAUAAAUCUUCACAUAGCUUAAGCAUGGAUGCCUACCCUCAUCUAUCCCAACUGAUAGGAACCAAGCCAAAAAAAAAAAUGAGAAAGACACGAAAUGCAGCAUGGUCGAAACUUUGACAAAAAUCAAAUCAUCCAAAGCCCCUUUUCGAUAGUAUCAGAACUGGCUCUCUUCCUCCCAUGAGACCCAUGAAUAUCACAACAUAAAGGCCAUGUAAAUAUUAUUCUACAAACACUGAAUACCAGUCAAGCUCUCUACUUUUAAGGGCGAGGGAAACAGAUUUUGGGAUAAAAAAAAAUGGUAAAAACAAACGAGAUUCACCAAACUUAUGCAAACGGGCCAGGAGGAAACAUCAAAACAAAAAUUCCCUGAAGUAUUAUGUCACUUUCUGGGUUUGUCCAUUCAAACACAUAAAAGAUCAUUCAUAAACAUUAAACGAAAACUUCACGAAAAUCAUCAUGCAAUCCCACAGAGAAAUUCCAACUGUUGUCUCUAAAAUCCAGCCAAUACUCAUGAAUUCCUUCACCCCAACGAGAUUUACAGACAAGACUCAUAAAGGGGAACGACACAAGCAUAAAGGCCAAAACUUUCGGCAUUCUAACAUAAUCCAACAACUUGUAAACAACUCCAGAGUAGAAAAACAUCACCUUUAGCCUUUGAUCAGAGCUUUAUUCAGAAGAUGAAAUCUUUGCUCAGCCGAAUCAUCUUUUCCUGGUUUUGCUACUUUCCUUCUGUCUUGCAGCCGCUUUUCCUUGUUUUCUCCCUUUUGGUUUCAGCCGAAAACUCCUUUCGAAACCUCCCCUUUCUUUUUUUUUUUGCCGCCAACCCCUAGUCCUCCCUCGUUUCUUUCUUUUGCUUCCCUUUUGCUAGGCAGCCGUCCUAUAACCUUUCUCUCGGUAGCUCUCCCUCUCUCUUUCAGUUUUUCUCUACUGUCAUAGCUUUUCUUGAAAUUUCCUAGUCCGCUCCUCAGUCAGCCUCUCUUGGUUUCUUUCUUUUUGCCGUCACUCUCUCUCGGCCUCUCCUUUCUUACCGCCGCUGCUUUCUUUUCUUUUUAUAUGGAAAACCUAUAACUCUAAACCCUCACCUCAAUGGUGAGGAUGAAAGGUUUAUUCUGCCCAAUCCCCCAGCCAUCCGAUCCAUUGAGCCAUAUUUCUCCUGAAAAAACUUCAUGCCGCUGCAUGUGCAGCUCUUGUUCCUUUUUUUUUUUGAAAAGUAAUUUAACAAAAUUGAUAAUAAAAUUAAGUAAAAAAAAAACAACAAUUUAAAUAACAUCGGACAAAAAUAAUAAACAACAAAGUUGCGAUAUUUCAUUUUUCUUUUCUUUUUCGAAAAAUUCUAUGCUAAAAAAAAAACUUGAAAAAAAUAAUAAAAACUAAAACUAAACAAAAAAUGAAUAAAACUCACACGACAAAUAAAACUAAAAAAAAUAAAAAGUAAAUGAAAUUAUACUAAAAUUUUGGUGUCUACAUCUGUUGUUCCCAAUCACAACUACUUUUCUGCUUAUUAUAAUAGUGGGGAUCCGAACGUUCCCAAUGCAUACAUAUAUGUAGUUAACGUAUGCUCGUUUUAAUGACAUAUUAUUUUGUAUUAUCCGAAUGUCCACCAUUUGACUAAUCAGGAUCCUCUUGCUACUACCCCUACAGAAUGGAUGCAUCCCAAAUUUUCUAUUUUUUUCAAACAUAACUCUGUCAGAGAUAUCUUAAUGGUCUGAUAUAUCAUUUUUGUUAUAAUAUGUAGUCCAAUUUAGCUUUUAAUUGAACAAUAUAGGCACUGCUAAUGAUUUAUUUACAGUUGAUAUUUAUAUUAUAUAAUGAAGCAAGAGCGUGCGGCAAUUUCAACACACUGUGAUAUUGAUGCAUAUCAAGUAUUUUCAUCAUCACCCCAGGUGACAAAUUUUUAUCAUUACAAUACAUGUUUAUGUAGUAUUGUUAAUUGAAAACUUGGACAUCAUAUAUCAUUAACCGUAUGUUCCAUUAACUGUAUUAGAUAAUUUUGCAACGUUGUUUCUUUCAAGAAAGAAAUAACACCCAAGGAUUACAACUAACUGUUGACGUCGCCUCCCCCCGAGAAGUAGGUUAAUGAAUGACGUGUACCUAUAAUUUUUUAACGACACAUUAAUUUGGUUGACCCAACUUGAGAAUGCUGCAUAUAUUCAGUUACUAUCUGUUAAUAAUUUGUUACAAUUUAUUCAGGAGGUUGUAUAGGCACCAUUGAUGUUUCACUCUUUUCAAAUUUAGAUAAGUGGGUUACAAUUGUAAUCGCAUCUUGUGUUAGUAAUCAUCAAUAGUAUGUAUUGGAUUGUAUAAAAUUGUUAGGAAAUUAUAAAGUCAACAGAAAAUUGAGUAACAUUUUUACAAUAGGUUUACAUUUGUUAUUAUUUUGUUAUGAUGCUAAAUUUGAAUUAUUAUUUUGAUAUUUUUAUAAAAAAAAUUAUCAUUGAGGCCAUAGGAUUUACAUUUUCUUGCCGAUUUUAUUGUAGCAUUGAUAGGAUGUAUCACAAGCACUUGAAUAGUGUACAAGUUUAGUUACAUUCCUAACUUGAUUAAUUAACAACACGAGCACCUGUAGUAUGAUAAUUUCACACAAGAAAAUCAUUUUUUUGACAACUAAUUGUAAUGUUAAAACUAAAUACAGUACAAAAUAGGUUACAACCAGUUAGAUAUAUGUUAUAAUACGUUACAACUAGUUUCCUCCCGUCUGGUGUUUCGGACCUCCUUAGGGCAUUUGUUGGAAUAAACGAUACUUGCCGUCUUUUUUGUCGAUUCUUUGAUUGUGAGCUUGUAUGAGAUCCUUCGUUUGUAGGUUGAAUGACUAUGCUAACACCUACUGCUUUUAGGUUGGAUGAAAGGAAUGAUCUAUUGCCAAAAUAGAUGGGGAUGAGAUACCAAAGAGGUGUUGAUUUAUUGGCAGAUAGUGAGAAGAAAUUUUUAACGUAGCACCUGUUUAUGACCAUGCAUAAUAAAUGGUUUGUGGUAUCAACUUUAACAACUACUUCCUGUUCAUUUCAUGCUAUUCUCCACGAGAUAGUAAUUUGAACGUGCAUUUUCUUGGAUCUCAAACUUUGAACGUUUUAACUAAGAACGUACAAAGUUGUACAUGCCUCAAAAGAAAUGCUGUUCUCCAUGGUAGCCGCUCUUUCACUUGUCACGCCCCAAACGUUUCACGGUUUAUGUACAUUUCACAUAAGGCGUAAUUUUAUGAAACAUCUUAAUAAUCACUACAAGAAAAAUAGUGACAUUCCAUACAUCUUUGGUGCCUGCAUGUAUGAGAUUAAAGAAGUGGAACAAUUCAACAGAGUAUGGAAGGUGAUGGUGAAGAAACACAAUCUUGAACAUAAUGAAUGGCUUUUAACGUUGUAUCGAAUUCGUGAUAAAUGGGCAAGGUACAUAAUGAAAAAAAAAAUGGACCACGGGAAUGCAAAGCACUCAAUUUAGCGAAAGCCUAAAUGCAGCAAUUCAAAAUUAUUUGAAACUAGAUCACGACCUGUGCAGUUCUUUAGACAUUUCAAUCGGGUGGUUGAUGAAAAGAGACAUAAUGAACUCAUCGUAAAAUAUGAAAUGAAACAAAAGCUCCCCCAUGAUAGGCUUGAGGUAAACACCUAUGCUUGUGCAUACAGCAGAGACGUAUUCACCAACCGUAUUUGUUGCAUUCCAAAAUGAAUAUGACGAGUCAACAGCUAUGGUUAUAUUGAAACAACAAGAUGCAUGGAUGUUUGUGGAGUAUACGAUCAUGAGGCAUGAUGGAGCUAUUUCAACUCACAUAACUACUUUUUCUGCACUAUAUCUAUUCUCCCUUUUAUAUACAUAUAUAAUCAAGUAACUAAUACCUAAUAUGAUGUACAUUUUUGUAAACGAAUUGUACUUCAUAGAUCAUCCCGUGUAAGGUAUUCACAGAUAAAUAAUGAUUAUCAUACAAGUAAAAUUACAUAUCUACUAUAGAAAGAUGCACAAAUUGAUCAAAUGACUAAAUAACCAUUCUAAAUUUAUGCGUACCAUUGCACUACCUUUUAUAGAUAUACACGGUUAAAUAACUAACAUCUAAAAUUAUGUACAUUCUUGUAAACUGAUUGUAACUCAUAAAUCACUUCAUGUAAGGUGCUUAUAGGCAAAUUAAUAUUAGUCAUAUAGAUAAAAUUACACACCUACUGCAGCUUGCAAGGAGAUACAUGAGUCUUGAUUCUACAUCAUUUUUUAGAUAUAUGCAUUAGACACGAAUAGAGUUUCAUAAAGUGUUUGACGAAUCAUGACGUGCAUUUAUCUUAAACUGAACCCGUGCUUUUCACACUAUCGGCUUUUCAAGACGUUCCAUUUCUUUCUUGUACUCUUUUUUCUCUUUCAAAUACUCUUCCUUUCGCUUCCUCACAUCUUCCUCACUCAACUUAUUGUAUGUUGAACAGGCAAUGUCAUUGUAUUGCAUUGAAUAAAUAAAGUCAAAAUGCACGUUAAACUAAAUCCAAAAUAAUUGCUCGUUUCACUAUUUUUUUCUUAGCCUGACCAUCAGUUGAAUGAUUAUAGUUUUUAUUUUGCUAGGCUAGCAUAUCUUUGUUAUCUUAACAUCCUUCGCCGAAACCAUGCGUUGAUACUCUUUCCUGUUAUUUGUGUUAUUUAGUAAUAUUAUUUUUUUCUCAAAUUCAAUGAUCUUAUAUGAACUUCAUCCAUGGAUUCAAUGGUGGGAUUGGUUCCACGACCUCGCUUGUUCCUGCUAUCUGCAUUUCUUCUUCUCCACUUAAACGAUCAUUUCUUUUAUUGGCUCUUUUCCUUCCCAUCCGACCCCUGCAUUAUCAACAUUCUAAUGCAUUAUAAUGAUGACAAAUCCAACCUGUUAUGACAAUACACAAGCAUUGACCACUUACCUAUUCAAUGAUUUGGGUGGUGCCUCGUGUUCUGUUUCACCAAUUGUUUCAGCUAGUUCUUCUCUCUGUGCUUCCUGACGUGAGCUUCUUGAUCGCGUUCUUGCCAUGUAAACUAAUAUUUUUUUACAAAUAAAUUGCACUUCAGUUCCAAAAUUUCAUUUUCAACCACACGCAUAAUAUAUGAUGAAGUACUGCUAAGCAUAAUAUAUGAGUUUCAAGUAUUAGUCACACUAGUUAUAGUACAACAUGUAACAUUUUUUUUCACAUUGAGUAAGUUAUUCUUCACAGUUUAUUAUUUAUUCCAACUAGCACUAAUCAACAUAAUCUGUUGUCCUACCUAUCAGGCUUUGCUUAGGAUCAACUUCUUCUUCUAUUUAUCAUGCUAUUGUACAAUAUCAAUGACAUAGCACACGGGGGCAAGCAAUUUUACAGUAUGUUAAUGUAAUUUUACAGAGCAGUUCUAUUACUGUCACUUCUGACCUACUGUGUGUAACAACAAUCAAACAUGGUGUCCAACCACAAUAAUUACUGUACUAGUAAUCUUCUUUUCUCAAUUUAUUUGCCAGGGUGCAAAGUUUCUUGUUAAUUAUGCCUAAUUUAGUCAUAUCAUAAUCUAUUCUCCUACCUAUCAAGUUCGAUGCAAUCAACUUCUCUUUCAUUUAUCACGGUAUUCAACAAUACGAAUGAAGUAACAAAUUUGUGGAACAAUUUCAAUGUAUGUUCAGCCAAUUUUACACAACACUUCUGAUACUGUCACUACUGAAUCACUGCGCGUAACAAUUAUCCAACAUGAUGUGCACCCACAAUAACUAACAAGAUUCGUAACCGUUUUCCCACACUGAUUAUGCUAAAUUUCACAAUUUGUUAUUUCUUUUGCCACACAUUGUUAAAUUAUAACCUAUUCUCUUACUUAUUCAGUUCCAUGCAGUAAACUUGUCUAUCUAAGCACUGUGCUAGUAUACAAUUCCAGUGGAGUGACAAUCACAUUCUUGCAAUUUCAUCAUUUGUUGGGGCAAUUUUACACACCAUUCUAAAGGUGUCACUAGUGAGUCAUUGCAUAAAUGAUUUGUCCAACAUGAUGUGCAAACACAAUACCUAUCAAGACUUGUAAACUUGUUUCCACAUUGAGUAUGCCAAACUGCACUGUUUGGCAUACUUUCUACCUAUCAUUGUCAAAUUAUAACCUUUUCUCCUAUUUAGCGCAUUAUAAUCUUCUCUUCUAUGGCGGCCUUAAAUGAAAUAUCUUGUAACCAUUUCACUUCACUUUGUAUGUCUCCCUCAACAGUAUGUACCAUCUUAGAAACCCAUAUCAUGUUUAAUCUCCACCCAGCCACUGUUAUAUAACAAAACCUACGCCAACUUCAUGCACAAUAACCAUAACAAUCCCCAACCCAUGCAUGCAAUUUUGCAAGCACUUGGUGUGCAAAAUUUUCAGUACCUUUCUUUCUCGGUGUUGGUAAUUAUAAUACCUAUUUUGUGCAAUCAAAGGUUUCAGUGUAUUAUCCGUUUUCCACUAUAUUAAACUAUUACUUCAACCAAAACUGCAACAAGUAUAAUCAGCCCAUUUGUUCGCAACGAUGUAUACAACAAAAGAUAACUACAAGUCAAAUCGAUCCACAAUUUAUCUGAUACCAUUGAUAUUUUCUUACCUGUGUUUCUUCUACUUUAUCUCUUCUCCGGAUCUCCCAACCUUGUACUCCACAAUUCCCGUUCACCUUUUUCAAGCCCUUUGAUAUUUGAGUACCAAUCCUAAACUCUCUCCUUCUGCCACUACUUAUUGCUUCUCUUCGCCGUGAUUUUCCUUCGCAGCCACUUUAUUUCUACUACUUCUUGCUUUCCCUUGUAUACUACUUGGCAAUUUCCAAUUCUGCAAUGUUAUUUUCCCUUUGCUUUUUUUUCUUGCUCUGUUUUGUAGAAUUUUGCAUCAAUGAAUAUGGACAAUUAUUUUGGAGGGAGUACGACUUAGCUUUUCGUUUUGAGAAUUCAUUUGGGCGGUAACGGACCAAUGCUUCAUGAAACUAUCCGUCAACUCUUUUUCUUUUUGUUUUUCCUGUUUCUCCUCAACACAGCGUCGUUCUAGCCCCUACUGAAGCCUUCAUGACAUGGUCCAUUGCAGUCCUUUCAUUUCCUUUUGUGAGAGGACUGCUCAGGGACGGUCCGUCUAAUGACUAUCCCUGCCCCAAAUCCAUCUGAUGAUCGCUCCUGCCUCGUAUCCGCAACAACCAGUCAUGACCCAAGGCAGAAAUUCUGACACUUUAUAUGAACACUUACUUUCAUCAAUCAUUGCAAUUAUCAGUUGUUGAGGUGUCACUUCCACAUUGGACAAUGAUAAAUAACUGCACCAAUAUUAGAUUUCAAAUGGAUCCAUAAUUUUAAGGUGAUAUCGAUUGUAAAUUAAACCUAAAAGGGAAAUCCAAACUUGUCCACUCAAGUCAUGGCUUAACGUACUUUUCAAGGAAAAAAUAUAUAUCGGAAGGUCAUGAUUUAAAGUACGUUUGUCCCUGAAGGAGUUUCCACCACACAUUUCUAGACAAUGAAAUUUUUAUUACAAUUUAACAUUACUUCUUAUUUAAAAAAAAUUACUUCUUAUUUAUAAAUUAGUUUACAUGGCAUAUUUAUUUCCAAUUAAAAACUACCAUGUAUCAUUUGUAACUGAAAAUUCUUUCUUAAUUGAAAAAUUGGUUAUUCUAUCUUCAUACCCCUUAGAAAAAUGCUAUGCUACAAUAAGUUAAAUUUGUCAAUUAUAUGUAUUGAAGUGGUUCCUCCAAUCAAUUCCUGUUUCAAUUUUGGCAUUCAUGCUCAGUCUAGCAAGGGUUUGAACUUGGUUUAGGACAAGCUGAAUGCAAAUAACUUUUAAAGUAUUUUCCCUUUUCCUGUCCUUUCAAUUAAAGAAGGGGAUGGUAGAAUGUGCGAUAUGGAAAUCAAAUUUUAGUUUUAGAAUGAACAAAGAAAAGAAAAUCUUAACAACUUUGCAAUGUAUAAUUCCCACUGCUUUUUGUAGACUAAAUUGAUAAUAAAGUAAAAAAAAAAAAAGAUGAAAAACUAAACGAACCAAAACACGACGAGCAAGUUGUGUACUUUUGCCAUGACUACAAUUUUGGGUCAAUGUAAAAGAAACAAAUUGAGUUAAAUCCCGAAUGAGAGAGCUUUGUGAUAAUCUAUUAUCUAUAUAUAUAAUCAUUUUACAGGGAGUGGAGUCCCUGUUACAAAGUUUGAAACUAGUGAAAGACCUCGAUCAGGUCUAUAACUUGGUACUUGAUGACCAGCACCUCUAACUGUUGCAAAUGUUAAAUUA